rnacentral:lncRNA from 1 species
CCAUUACAAAUUAUCCCCUCAUCAGAUAUUUCGUUAAAAUUCAUUCUGAAACACUAAAACUAAAUAAUUGAAUAUGGCUUUGCGGGUCGAUGAUGCCAGCAGCAAUGAGACUGCAAUUAUCACUUGUUUAGUUUCUGUGCUUGCCGUGGUUUACUUCGCAUGGAAUGUGAAAAAAUCAAGGAAAGCAAAUGCUAAACUUCCACCAGGACCUCGCGGCUUGCCUGUAGUCGGAUACCUCCCAUUUCUCGGAACUACUGACUUGCACAAGAAAUUCACGGAAUUAUCCGGAGUUUAUGGUCCGAUCUUCAAGCUCUGGCUCGGAAACAAAUUAUGUGUCGUGGCGAGCUCACCUUCCCUAGUUAAACAAGUGGUUCGAGAUCAAGAUACAACAUUCGCCAACCGUGACCCGCCGAUCGCUGUACUAGCGUUCACCUAUGGUGGCAAUGAUAUUGCAUGGUCCAAUUACGGUCCCGAAUGGAGAAAUUUGCGCAAAGCUUUUGUGGGCAAGAUGAUGAGUAACGCAAGCCUUGAUGCUUGUUAUGCUCUAAGAAAACAAGAGGUUAAAAAUACUAUCAGGGAUUUGUACAACAACGACAACAAAAUUGGUAAGCCCAUCGACAUUGGUGAAUUGUCAAUUUCAACCUUGGUAUGUGUUAUUCAGAACAUGCUGUGGGGUGAAGCGCUUGAAACAAGAGAGGAAGGGAUCACUAAUCUUGGGGCUGAGCUAAAAUUUAAGCUGGCAGAACUCAUGGUCCUAAUGGGAACACCGAAUAUUUCGGACGUCUUUCCAGUGCUUUCAUGGUUUGAUAUACAAGGUAUAGAGAGGAAAGCAAAGAAGAUUUCACUCUGGUUUGAAAAUAUUAUAAAUUCUACUGUUGAAAAGUAUAGAAGCAAGGACUUUAUUGUUGAAGGUAAAGAAAGAGCAGGGGAAAAUUUUGAAGGAUCAAGGAACAAGAACUUCUUGCAGUUACUAUUGGAGCUUCAAGAAAAUGAAGACGGUUCUUCCUCAAUUAGCAUGAACCAAUUUAAGGGCGUGCUCGCGGUAUGUUAAGCAACUAGCCACGAACAGUUAUACAAGCACAGUUGUAUAUUUGCAUGAGUGACGCUUCUCAACUUUUUUUAAUUUUUUAAAUUAAAGUUUUAUUGUAAUCUUUUGAACAGGAUAUAAUUACGGGUGGAACCGACACCACAACUACGAUGGUGGAAUGGACAAUGGCAGAGUUGAUGCAGCAUCCACAAGUAAUGAAGAAAGUUCAGGAAGAAUUAGCUCAAGUUGUGGGCAUGGACAGUUGUGUUGAAGAAUUUCAUUUGCCUAAACUGAAAUAUUUAGAUGCUGUGGUGAAAGAAUCGUUUCGUCUGCAUCCUGCAGUGCCUUUAUUAGUACCACGCAGAGCAAGCGAGAGUGGCAGCAUUGGUGGCUAUACCAUUCCCAAAGAUACAACUCUUAUGUUGAAUGUUUGGGCUAUCCACAGGGACCCUCAACUUUGGGAUAAUCCCUUAGAAUUUCGACCCGAGAGGUUUCUGAAUGUUGGUGUCGAGAGUAAGUUCGAUUACUCAGGUAACAAUUUUCAGUACUUACCUUUUGGUUCUGGUAGAAGAAUGUGUGCUGGGAUUCCUCUAGCUGAGAGGAUGCUGAUGUUUGUUUUGGCUUCGUUAUUGCACUCAUUUGAGUGGGAAUUGCCAGCUGGCACAAAGCUAAAUUUAUCUGAAAAAUUUGGGUUUGUCAUUAAGAAAAAAGAGCCUUUGGUUGCUAUUCCAACACCAAGACUAUCCAAUUCAGAGCUUUACCAUUAAAACAGAAUGAUUGUGAUGAUUUUGUUAGUAUCGGAAGAUUUGUAUGUUAUUUCAAGUUCAAUCGUAAUAAAAUAUUUUAAUAAAAGUCCUCCGUUGCUAAUUUUUUUUUUCAACGGCAUAAUCUGUCAUCAUGCUUGUGUUUGGAGCUACUUUGGAAUGAUUAUUUUUGAAUUACAAUUUAUAAAUAUUUAGGUUUUAAAUUUUUUAUAAGAGUCUAAAUUUAUACACGUUCAGUAAAAGAUUCCCUAAAAGCUUUACAAUUCAAAAUUCUAUUAAAAGUAUAGAUGAAACUUUUAUACCUACUAAUUUUUUGGUCUAUUCUACAAGUUUAAAGAGGAGAUAUUUCUAGAGCUAGCAAAAAGAGCUACCUGAUUGUUUUCGCGUUAUGUCAAUUUUUUUAUUGUGUUAAAUUUAAUUUGACCCACAUAUGACCCAUUUAAUAAUCGUGUCAAAAUAUUGAAACUUGAACUUGAUACGGAAAAUAAAUGGAUGACCACACACACCCAUUUAAGAAUUAGGUAACUAUGUCACUUAAUACGACAUAACCCAAUAACUCGUUUAAUACAUAUUUAACAUAAUUUACAUUGUACAUUGUACACCCUUUUGUCAUAAAUUACACUAUUUUAUAUUUCUAAAUAAUAUUAUAUAUUGAUAUUAUAAAAAAAUAUCAAUAAUCUCAAAAUUUGUACACCUCCUAACUUUUAAAAAGAAAUAAAAAAACUAAUUAAUUAAUGUUUAUUUUAUUCAUUAAUAUAUCAUAAUCCUACAUGUAUUUUAUUUGUUAUUUUUUUUAUUUAAAAAGAUAGGAGGGUGGAUGAAACUCAAAUAAAUUUUUAGCCUAUCCUGAUCUUUCAAGUUUCUUAUUUAGGAGGCCAGUUAAAAAAAAUUACUUAGAAAGCUACUCCAUCAAUUUAACAAAUUUUAUUUAUUUAAUUAAUGGAGGUGUAGAAAAUAAAAGUAUCUGCAAGCACAUUGCAAUAGUGAAAGCAAUGUACCGGUGUUGCAACAUAACUGAAUCUUGAUAACCUAUCACAUAUUUUAAGUUUUAAUAUUGGUAGUUCACGGAUCGGUUUCUACUUCCACGAACAAUUAUUGAAGGAAAUGAGUUUUUUUUUUAAUGAAUAUUUAUAGACCCCGAUUAAAUAUUCGAAUAUAUAAUAAAAGAGAAACUGACAUAGAAAUGAGAAAGAUAUUUGGAGGAGGCCAAAAAAAAAAAAAAAAAUGCAACAGAGAAUUAGAUCAGCAACACAAGUAACUAAUUAAUUCAUCUAUACAUCAUAAUCCUAUUUGUAUCUUCUUCCUUCUACUAAUUUACAUAUAAAUUUGGUUAGAUAAAACAUAUUUUAAUACUCGGUCACAAGCGGUGGAUAUAGAAAAUUAAUUUAGAGGGGGUAAUACCAUAACGAAAAAUAAUGAUUCAUAACUAAAAUCAACCCCAACAUCAAAACUUAUUUACAAGAUUACGCCCAGUCAAAGGUAAUUUUUCCUAAAAACUAAUACGAAAUUAAAUAAAUUUAACUUUUAGUGGGUUCAAGUGCCCACGCAUUCUGAACGUAGAUCCACCCCUGGCCCCGACUGAAGCAUUUUUUACAAUAUGUACUCAGUUUAUCAACAGGAACAACCUUCCACUUUAAAUUAAAAUUUUCACUUAAAAAUGAUUAAUGUUAAUGAGGUUAGCAACAAAAAUGAGUUUAAUUAGAGAAUAUUAUAAGAGAAAUUAUAUUUUUUGACUUUUAAUAAAUUAAAAUAUUAUUAGUUGGUGGUGGUUUCACGUCAGAUUAAGACGUGACACUUUACUUAUGAGGUCGAGACAAUCGACUUAAACUAUUUCAAUGCAUUUGAAAUUUGCACUAAUGGCUAUCAUUCUUUGUCCAAAUUAAUACGAUAAUUAAUAACAUACAAUUGAAAUAAUUAAUACUAGCACUUGGCAAUAAAUAAAGCUCUUGUGCUUGAAUCGUCACACAUGAUCACUUCAUUCCUUUAUUUACUUUGCUACCACAAAUUUUGAGGCAUUAUAACUAAAUAAUAAUUGAAUAGGGCUUUGUGUUACUUGUUGUGCGCGCGGAAUGCGGAAUCAAGCACACCAAAUUAUUACAGAAAAAUAAAGGACACAAUUAUUUGACGUGGUUCGGUAAUUAAACUUACAUCCACGGAGGCAAGAAAGAAUAAUUGUUUAUUUAACAAUUAAUAGAGUACAAAUAUUUGAGUAACGAAUCUCACUUCUCAGAAACCUAAAUAUACCCAAUACUCUCACACUCUGCAGGAAAGAUAAAUUAUCCAAACACACUUCUCUCACUUCUCUAAAAAACUUAAAAAUUUAAAAACUUAACAAUUUUGGAAUGCUUUAGAAUAGAAGAAGUGCCAUCUUAUAGGAAAAAUAAUGAUACUAUUGCACCAACCUCUUUACUAUUCCACCUAACAUAAGCAAAUUGUCAAUAGUGUCCAUUUAACUUUUUAUUUUUUUUCUUCAAUUGUUUAGUAGCCCUUUAAAAAUCUGCGUGGUUUCUUGAAAUUUAGAUGCCACAUGCAUGACUUUUCAACACUAAUUACUACGAUAAUUAAUAUUAGCACUUGGCAAUAAAUAAAGCUCUUGUGCUUGAAUCGUCACACACGAUCACUUCAUUCCUUUAUUUGCUUUGCUACCACAGAUUUUGAGGCAUUAAAACUAAAUAAUAAUUGAAUAUGGCUUUGUGCGUCGAUGACGCCAGCAACAAGGGGACCACAAUUAUCACUUUUUAAGUUGCUUUUAAAAUUGAUUUUAAUAGUGAUUUGAUUAUUGUAGUGUUUUUAUUUUUAUAUUAAAAUUAAGUCGAUUUGUUAUAAUAAACUUAGUUGAGUUUAAUGGUAUUACUACAUAAAUUGAAUAGUCAUCAAAUAUUUUAAUGUUUUUAUGGCAAGUGUUGACGUGGCAUUUAUUUGUUGUAUGAUGGAUUUUAAAAUUUAUAAAAUUAUUUGUUAUUAAAUUACCCCCAGAUGCUGCAUCACCUGAAACUUAAUAAAGGGCAUGUAGCAUUGCCAUUACUCAACAUUCACUCUUAUGACUUUAUGACAUUAGAAUUAAAAUCUUUCGUACAUUUAAUUUGUUUGCUUCCAGAUUAAUCUUUAAAAAUAUUUUUUUCACAUUAUCAUGAAUGGACAAAACUCCAACGAAAAUAACUACGCAAGAGCAAUCUAUGCUAGUAUUAUAUGCCACGAUAUCUAUAACUUUGUCAGGUCUCAGGAUCGAUCAUUCUAAUUUUUACGCAGAACUUUUAAUCAAUGGACAAACACCUCACCGAGCUUGUCGGCAGCAUUACUACGAUGUAAAAUUGUACCGGAAUAUCUUGAAGUAUUAGUAGAAUAAUGAAGACUAUUUGGAGCAAUAAAAACAAAUAACGCAGAUAAAAAAAAUGGCUAAAAUUAUGUAAGUGAGCCCCAAAGUUUUUGCUAUUUCCAGGAAAUCCCAAAUUUGAAUGGACUAGAGGGAGGCACGUAAGAAAUACAUUUUCUUCCUAGACAAUGACAGCUAUGACAUCAAGCCACGUAUUGAAAUUAAGGUGUAAUUAUUCAGCCAAUGAGCCUUACACACCAAGAUGUAUAAAAGUCAAGAAAAUGAAAUUUUAUCCCAAUUAAAACACUUUCUGGCUGCAAUUGGCUGUUUCCAUUUGAAGUUAAAAAACAACAACGUUUCUUUCGUUUUGUGGGCGAUUCGAUUGAGCACGCGCCACGAGCUAGCUGGCUUCCAGUGCUUGCGUGUGACAAUAGAAGGCUAGUGAUUUCACUUUCGCUUUUUUUUUUUUUUCUUUUUUUUGGGGAAUCAAGAUAAAAGCCAAGAAAAUGAAAAUUGGGCUGUUUCCAUUUGAAGUUAAAAACAGUGUUUCUUUCGGGGCGUCAAUUUGAUAUUUGAAUGGACAGGCAAGUAAGAAAUACAAUUCCUUCAUAGACAAUGACAACGAGGACAUCAAGGCACAUCAUUAUAGUUUGUAGCCCAUCUACAUUUAAACGAUUAAUAAACAAGCUUAGGUGUGCCACUGCUAUUAUUAAUUAUCCCCUGAUCAUUAUAGUUUCUGAAACAGUAAAACAAAACGAAAUUGAAUACAUCAACGAGAUCGCAAUUAUCACUUGUUUAGUUGCGGUAUUUAACUUAAUUUUAAUCUAAUAUAUUUGUUAGUUAAACUUUUAAUAAUCAAAUAAUUUUGACUUAAAAAUAAAAUUAUAGAAAUUAUUAAUUAUUAAAAAUUCACACAUAGCUAUUGUUUUCUCUAUAUAUUGCAGUGUGUACGAUAUUGAGGGUUGAAGCCCAAAGCAUGCCCUAAAAUCCAGAUAAUAAUUAGAUCCGGGCCAAAUAUUCAUCAUUGUGUCGGCUGAUCAGUCGGUGGACAUCUCUAUUGAAAAAAUCUCUGACAUUUCUCUCGACAAACUUAUUACUAAAAAAAAAUCAGUGGUUUUGCCGUCUGAAUAAUGUAGAAAAAUUUGUCUGUGCAUUAAUCUAGAUGUUUGAGGUGAUUUAUACAUCUGUGAUAAAGAUUUAUAGGUUGACUUAUACGUCUGUGGUAUAGAUUUUAUGUAUUUCAUUACAAAAUGCUGGCCGUUAGAACCCUUUCUACAUCUAUUUAUAAGAUUAACGGGUGCCAGUUAUGCCAUUACAAAUUAUCCCCUCAUCAGAUAUUUCGUUAAAAUUCAUUCUGAAACACUAAAACUAAAUAAUCGAACAUGGCUUUGCGGGUCGAUGAUGCCAGAAGCAAUUCGACUGCAAUUAUCACUUGUUUAGUUUCUGUGCUUGCCGUGGUUUACUUGGCAUGGAAUGUGAAAAAAUCAAGGAAAGCAAAUGCUAAACUGCCACCAGGACCUCCCGGCUUGCCUGUAGUCGGAUACCUCCCAUUUCUCGGAACUACUGACUUGCACAAGAAAUUCACGGAAUUAUCCGGAGUUUACGGUCCGAUCUUCAAGCUCUGGCUCGGAAAUAAAUUAUGUGUAGUGGUGAGCUCACCUUCCCUAAUUAGACAAGUGGUUCGUGAUCAAGAUACAACAUUCGCGAACCGUGACCCACCGAAGGCUGCACUAGUGGUCUCCUAUGGUGGCAAUGAUAUUGCAUGGUCCAAUUACGGUCCCGAAUGGAGAAAGUUGCGCAAAUUUUUUGUGGGCAAGAUGAUGAGUAACGCAAGCCUUGAUGCUUGUUAUGCUCUAAGAAAACAAGAGGUUAAAAAUACUAUCAGGGAUUUGUAUAACAACGACAACAAAAUUGGCAAGCCCAUUGACAUUGGUGAAUUGUCGUUUUCAACAUUGGUAUGUGCUAUACAGAACAUGCUGUGGGGUGAAGCGCUUGAAAUAAGAGAGAAAGGGACCACUAAUCUUGGGGCUGGGCUAAAAUUUAAGCUGGCAGAACUCAUGGUGCUUGCGGGAACACCGAAUAUUUCGGAUGUCUUUCCAAUGCUUUCAUGGCUUGACAUACAAGGUAUAGAGAGGAGAGCAAAGAAGAUUUCACUCUGGCUUGAAAAUGUUAUAAAUUCUACUGUUGAACAGCAUAGAAACAAGGAGUCAACUGUUGAAGGUGAAGAAAGAGCGGGGAAAAAUUUUGAAGGAUCAAGGAACAAGAACUUCUUGCAGUUACUAUUGGAGCUUCAAGAAAAUGAUGACAGUGCUUCCUCAAUUAGCAUGAACCAAUUCAAGGCCGUACUCAUGGUAUGUUAAGUAACUAGCAACGAACAGUUAUACAAGCACAGUUGUAUAUUUGCAUGAGUGAUAUUUUCAACCUUUUUUUUUAAUUAGAAUUUUAUUGUCACCUUUUGGACAGGAUAUAAUUACGGCUGGAACCGACACCACAGCUACGAUGGUGGAAUGGACAAUGGCAGAGUUGAUGCAGCAUCCACAAGUAAUGAAGAACGUUCAGGAAGAAUUAGCUCAAGUUGUGGGCAUGGACAGUUGUGUUGAAGAAUUUCACCUGUCUAGAUUAAAGUAUUUAGAUGCUGUGGUGAAGGAAACAUUUCGUCUGCAUCCUGCAGUGCCUUUAUUAGUACCACGCAGAGCAAGCGAGAGUGGCAGCAUUGGUGGCUAUACCAUUCCCAAAGAUACAACUCUUAUGUUGAAUGUUUGGGCUAUCCACAGGGACCCUCACCUUUGGGAUAAUCCCUUAGAAUUUCGACCCGAGAGGUUUCUGAAUGUUGGUGUCGAGAGUAAGUUCGAUUACUCAGGUAACAAUUUUCAGUACUUGCCAUUUGGUUCUGGUAGAAGAAUGUGUGCUGGGAUUCCUCUAGCUGAGAGGAUGCUGAUGUUUGUUUUGGCUUCGUUAUUGCACUCAUUUGAGUGGGAAUUGCCAGCUGGCACAAAGCUAAACUUAUCUGAAAAAUUUGGGAUUGUCAUUAAGAAAAAAGAGCCUUUGGUUGCUAUUCCAACACCAAGACUAUCCAAUUCAGAGCUCUACCAUUAAGACAAAAUGGUUGUGAUGAUUUUGUUAAUUUUCCGAAGAUUUGUAUGUUAUUUAGUUCAAUCGUAAUAAAAUAUUUCAAAUAAGAGUCCUCCGUUGCUUUUUUUUUUUUUUUUUUUUCAACGGCAUAAUCUGUCGUCAUGCUUGUAUUUGGAGCUACUUUGGAAUAAUUAUGUUUGAAUUACAAUUUAUAAAUAUUUACGUUUUAAAUUUUUUAUAAGAGUCUAAAUUUAUACACGUUUAAUAUCCCGCUUCAUAGAUAUUUAACACAAUUUAUAUCAUACAUUGUAUACCCAUUUGUCAUAAAUUAUACUAUUUUGUAUCUCUAAAUAAUAUUACGUAUUGAUAUUAUAAUAUAUAUAUAUAUGUUUAUCAAAAGACUAUACCAUUCAAUAUAUAUUGAAAAGAGAACAAAGAAGAUUUUCUUAUGGUUUAAAAAUAUUAUGAAUUCUGCUGUUGAACAGUAUGGAAACAAGGUCUCUGUUGUUAAAGGUGAAGAAGCAACAGGGAACAAUAUUGAAGGAAGAAAUUUCACAUGUUUAGUUGCUGAAUUUGCCGCUGUAUUCUAUCGGUAGUAGAGUUUUUAUUUUUCUCUAUUAAUUUAAGUCAAUUUUCUAUAACAAAUUCGGUUGAGUUUAAUUGUGUUAUAAUAUAAAUUGAAUGAUAAUAGAAUUUUCAACAAAUAUUUCAAUAUUUCUAUCUCGAUUGUUGAAGUGCCAUUUAUUUGUUAUGCGAUCGAUUUUAAAAUUUAUAAAAUUAUUUGUUACUAAAUUGCAUCAUAUGCUAAAAUCACCUGAAACCUAAUUCCAUAACUAACCCUUUAUUUUUAGUUCUCAAGAAAUCUUGUAAGAACAAAAAUCUUUUAUAACAAAACUUUUACAACACAUUAAUUUGUAACUCAUUCCUGUGCGCGAAUCACUCUCAAUUUCCUUCAAUUGCUGUUUAACAAUCAUCUACUUAUCAAAAUUCAAGCAUAAUCUUUUUUUUUUAAUUUCUUCAUCAUUCUUUAAAAAAAAAAUCAGGAUAUGCUGUUAAAUUUUGAAAUAAAUAAAUUAACCAAAGUUGGUUGAUGUGAGUGGUUCAAUGAUGAGCAUAAUUUAUAUACAUAUUUUACCUUUAAUUAUAUAAUUAUUAGUUAUUUUUAUUAGUUAUUUUUAAUUAAUUGAAUUAUUUUAUUGCAUAGAGAAUUAAUUGGAGAUUGGGAAACAAAAAGUGCAUAAAGAAUAACAAGUUUGGGAAAGCAUCAAUCAAAGCCGUGACGCAAUUAAGAGUUUAUAGCAUAUGAAGCCAAGAGUAAUUUGCACUCAAAAAGAAUUUCAAUUAUUCAAGUGACCUGGACCUGCAUGGCAUUGUAAUGCAUGGAAAGCAACUUAAAGGGGCCCACACUUGGCUUUUACAAUUGGAAAAAGGAAUCCUAGUGCAAGCUUAAUUGAUGAGCACGUGAGUGAGAGCAAAGAAAAUUAAAAGGCCAAGCCUUUUGGCUUAAGGAAAUAACAAGGUCGGUGGGGCCCAUUUUAAAGAGUAAUAUAAAAGCAAGCUUUUGGCUUUUGGAGAGAGGAGCCGCGAGAGGAGGAAAACGCAAGACAAAGAGAAGAAAAUCUGCAGCAGUUCGGCUUCUAUGGUUGGUUUUAUCUCUUUUGUUACUCUUAAUUCAAAUAUGUCUAGUUAAUUUUCUUAUAUUAAAGUUAAGGAUGAAACCCUAUUCAAUGAAAUAAUUAUCUUUUUAUUUAUUUAAUUCCCAUAUAUGUUCUUUAAUGAUUAUGAUUUUUAUUUCACAUGAUUAAUUGGAUGUUAUUAAAAUUUUUUCAUCAAUUCUGUCAUGCAUUAUUGAUUGUUAGGAUUAAUAUUCAAUUAAAUCUAUACUUAGAUUUAUAACGUUUAUACAUGAUUAUCUUUGAUUCUAUGUCUUUCAUUAAAUUGUUUACAUGGAGUGCUUAGGAAAACUUUGACUCUUUGUUAUUCAAUAUGUUCACAUGGGAUACUUAGAUGUCAUACUAUUAAGCGGAAAAAGAACCUAUAUUAGAUUUAAUUAUUUGGGCUUAAUUGUUAUAUCCAUGAGAUGACACAAAUUGAUUUCGAGUUGUCACUCUAAAAUUAGAGAUUAAUGAAUAUUUAGAUAAUUACUAGUUGAAUAGCGGUGGAUUCUGAAACCUUGGUAAUUUCUAUCUUAUUGAAUUCUCCUUUACUUUAAUUGUUUUCUUAGUUUAAUUAAUUUAAUUUCUUUUAAAACUCAAUUUGCUUAACUAGGUUAGAAUUAAUAUUAAUUUUAGAUUUAAAUUAGACUUUUCAAUUUAUAACAAUCCAUGUGGGAUCGACCUCGUUACCACUACUUUAUUUCUAGAUUCGUGCACUUGCGAGUAUAUUAAAAUUUUCACAACAAGUUUUUGGCGCCGUUGCCGGGGAUUGUGCCAGAAAGUCAGUUUAAUCUAGGUUGAUUUGAUUCUUCCACUAGUUAUAAUUUAUGUUGUCUUUUAUUUUAUUAUUAUUUUUAAUUAACAAAAACACACAAAAAAACUUUUAUUUUUCUUUAAAUUCAUUGUUUGGUUGUUUGAUUUCUUUUAUUUUUUAAAUUUUGUUUAUUCUCAUUAUUGUUGGUUUAUUUUAUUUUAUUUUUUUCUUUCCUUGUCUAGUUAGUUUAUGAGUGUUUGGGAAUGUGAUUCAACAAAUCGUUUGGUAAAAGAGAGUCAAAAAUUGAUAGUAGUCAAGUUAGUUCUUCUGAAGUCAUGGAUGACCCAAAUAGAUUAUUGCCAAUACUUCCACCAGUGCAAGCAGAGAAAACCCUUAGAGAAUAUUUUUCACCACUUGCAGCCAACCAACCAUCUUGUAUUGUGUUGCCACAAACUACAGCAACACACUUUGAACUUUUUGAACUUAAGCCCUCAGUCAUCCAACUUUUACCAUCUUUCCAUGGGUUAGAGAGAGAGGAUCCAUAUUUGCACAUUAAGGAAUUUCUUGACAUAUGCUCUACAUUCCGUUUUCAAAAUUUUAAUGAUGAGUUAAUCAGGCUUCGUAUGUUAUCUUUCUCAUUAAAAGACAAAGCAAAAGCUUGGUUGAAUUCGCUUUCUGCUGGGUCUAUAACUACGUGGGAUGAAUUGAAUAAUAAGUUCCUCACCAAGUUUUUCCCUAUGUCUAAAACAAAUGCCCUUAGGAGAGAGAUAAGUGAUUUCUAUUAAAGAGAGGGUGAGCAAUUUUAUGAGUGUUGGGAAAGAUUCAAUGAUUUACUCCUCAAGUGCCCCCACCAUGGUUUUGAGAAAUGGAGACUUAUACAAUGCUUUUAUAACGGUUUAACCAUGUCGAAUCGUCAUAUGGUAGAGUCUAUGAAUGGUGGGAGAUUUUUGAACCUACAUGAAGGGGCUGCAUGGGAUUUCUUUAAUUCACUUUCUGAGAAUUCUCAACAGUGAGAUUUUUCAAGCCAAAGGGAAAAAUCAUCUCAAGUUUCUAGAAAGGGGUUAUAUGAAGUUAAGGAUGAUUUUGAUGUGAAAUCCACUCUAAUUACACUUUCUAGAAAAGUAGAUGCCUUAGCUCUGAACCAAUCAAUGAAUCAUCAUCCUAGUGUAGCUAAUGAGGUUUGUGCUAUUUGUUCUAACUUGUCUCAAACAGCACAAAACUGUCCAUCAUUACCAGUCUAUCCAGAGGCUUAUUCUGAGCAGGUACAUGCCUUACAAUCAUAUGAGAAAACCUCCAAUAAUACAUAUUCACUCACAUAUAAUCCUAAUUGGAGGAAUCACCCUAAUUUUUCUUGGAAACAAAAUCAAUCUUUGUCAAACCAAGGAGGACAACAAUUUAACAUGCCCAAUCAACAAUUUGUCCCUCCUAACCAAGUAUAUCCUCCUGCCCAACAACCUAUAUCUCAAUUUGUUACACCCCAACAAAGAAAACCUUCUUUAGAGGAUACACUUCAAAGUUUCAUUCAGUCAACCUAAUAAGCUUUUCAGUCAAACACUCAAGCUAUUCUAAAGCUUGAACAUCAAUUGGGUCAAUUAGCAACUACUGUAGCGGAGAAAGAAAAAAGAAAAUUCCCCAGUCAAUCAAUUCCUAAUCCUAAAGGAGUGCAUGAAGUUGGAUCGAGUUCAAGCCAUCAGCAUGAAGAAGCAAAAUCAAUUAUGACCUUGAGAAGAGGAAAAUUGUUUGACAACAAAGUGGAGGUUCAAACAAAGAAGACAUCUGAGCCUACUUCUUCAGAUCCAAUUACAUCACAAGAAUCAUCACCAAAUGAUCUUGAAGAGAGUGACCCGCUAGCUUACAUUCCCAAGGCUCAUUUUCCUCAAAGGUUAACAAAGGUAAAGAAAGGGACUUCAACAUGUGAGAUUAUAGAAAUCUUCAAGCAGGUAAGUAUAAACAUCCAUUUACUCGAUGCUAUUAAGCAAGUUCCUUCCUAUGCCAAGUUUUUGAAAGAUUUAUGCACUAAAAAGAGAAAUUUGCAUGUCACUAAAAAGGCGUUUUUAACUGAACAAACUAGCAAUUUACUUCAAUGUAAAAUGCCACCAAAAUUUAAGGAUCCUGGUUCUCCUACUAUUUCAUGUGUUAUAGGGAACCAAUGUUUUGAUAAAGCAUUAUUGGAUUUAGGUGCUAGUGUUAAUCUCUUACCUUAUUCCAUUUACAUGCAGCUUGGACUAGGUGAGUUAAAAUCAACUCCUAUUAUUUUGCAACUUGCUGAUAGGUCAAUGAAAAUACCUCGUGGUAUUAUAGAGGAUGUGUUGAUACAGAUUGACAAAUUUUAUUAUCCUGUUGAUUUUAUUGUUAUUGAUACUCAACAUGUACAUGAUCUUAAGAAACACACUCCACUUAUUCUUGGUCGUCCUUUCUUAGCUACAGCUGAUGCUCAUAUUAGUUGCAGGACUUGAAACAUGCAAUUGUCUUUUGGUAACAUGACCAUGGAAUUAAAUAUUUUUAAUGUUCCCAAGCAGGCACAAGAAGAUGAUGAAGUCGUUGAAGUAGAUAUGAUAGAAGCAUCAAUUGAUGACUCACUUAUUUCUAACCAUUGUGACAAUCCAUUAAUACCUUGCACAACUGACUCUGAUUUCUCUAUUGAUGUUGAUAGUGAUAUUGAAGAAGUUAAUGCUUUACUUGAUUCGACUCUUAUCAUAGAUCUAAUUAAGUGGAAAGAAAAGAUAAGAUUGAGCCACUUCCUCCUGAAGAGAAAAGUGCAACAUAGGUCACAUUCUGACAUAAAAAAGGUGGUAAGAUCUAAAACGCUUAAAUUAUUAGAUUUUUAUACUACUUUAGAUAACUCUCAGGAAAGCUUAGAACAGAAGAGAUCAAAGCAAUGCGAUAUUGAGGAGUUUCAUUACCAUCAUCCUUUUAUGGAUAAAAUGCUCCAGUGCUUAAUCAAUUAUGCUUUUUGGUAUUUUCUAUAUAAUUGCUUUAAUUUUCACCAAAUUCUUAUUGAUCCUGGUUGAUUUGUUGUUUACAUUAAUUAGUUAGUUAGUCGGAUUUUUUUAUUAUUAUUUAUAUUUCUUCUAACGUUUUCUUUUGAGUUGUCAUUCUUUUAAGUUUUCCUAGCUCAGUCAGGUGUGUUCUCUCCAACUUUCUCUUUUAUUAUUUAUGUUUUUAUUUUUCAUCUUUUUGCGUGCAUAUCUUUUAUUUAUGACACAUUGAGGACAAUGUUCCGAAUAAGUUUGGGGGUGGGAAUAAUGUUGCUUUGUUUGUUAAAAAAAACUAAAAAAAAAUUUCAAAAAUUCAAAAAAAAAUUGUGUUUUUUUUGUUUUUACGUGAAAAGCCAAUGAUAAAAACUUGAUUGACAAUGAAUAUGGUUUUUAGAAAGGGUUUAAUAUUGUCUUAAUUUAUACUUGAUUCUUAUGUUAGUUCCUCUUGAUUGAGAUUCUUUAAAAUAUAAGCACUAAUAUCAAUUCUUUCAUAAUUUUGACUUGAAAUUUGAGAUUGACGCAGCCUGAGUUGAGAAUUUUAGAUAGAGUAAAUGACUGUUUGUCUUUAUUCUUAUCUCCACAAUACAAAAUAGUAUACACAGGCACCAAAGUCAGAAAUAACUACCUAUAAUCCUUAAGAGUGAAGCUAUCCUUGAGUAAUUUAGGCCUAUGUACCACAAGUAUGUAGAGGAUAAUCUACCAUGAGAAGAAUGCUACCUUAAGGGGUAGAGUGAAAGCUCCUGACUAUGGUUAAAAAAAAAAGAAGAAGAAAAAGAGAAAGAAAAAAUCAAAUCAAGUGCAUGUGCUGAAAAAAAAAUCAAAAGAAAAUGCACAUAAAAGCCUGUGAAAAAAAAAUUGGAGAUUAAGAUGAUAAGAUUAGCUUGACCUACUCUUUUCUUUUUUUGAGGCGAAGGUUGUUGAUAUUGAAGAUUUUAGGAAUGAAUUUGAUUGAAUUGAUUUCACACACACACAACAAGAAUCGAAAGAGAGAUGGGAUUGAUUAUUGAAUUAAAGUUAGAACUUUGCCAAUAUUUGAAAUUUUGUUUGAGCUAUAUAAUUUAUGCAAUCUUUGAGGGUAUUUUCAUAUUUUAUUUAAAGUUUUUUUUUCUUUUUAUUUUAUUUUAUUUAUUUUUUAUUUUUUUAAAAUGAUGUUUGUGGGUGUCAUCACUGAAGCUCUCACGAGACUAUAACUCGUCCACUAGGGGUUUAAAGGCUUGUUGCAUACGCUAAAUGCAAUCGCGAUUACCUGCGAAAAUGGUUUAGUUAGGAUUUACUUUUUGUUUUGUUAUUUUUUUUUUUUUUUUUAGUUUUAGCUUUGCUCGAGGACUAGCAAAAUCUAAGUUUGGGGGUAUUUGAUGAGCAUAAUUUAUAUACAUAUUUUACCUUUAAUUAUAUAAUUAUUAGUUAUCUUUAUUAGUUAUUUUUAAUUAAUUGAAUUAUUUUAUUGCAUAGGGAAUUAAUUGGAGAUUGGGAAACAAAAAGUGCAUAAAGAAUAACAAGUUUGGGAAAGCAUCAAUCAAAGCCAUGACACAAUUAAGAGUUUAUAGCAUAUGAAGGCAAGAGUAAUUUGCACUAAAAAAGAAUUUCAAUUAUUCAAGUGAUCUGGACGUGCAUAGUAUUGUAAUGCAUGGAAAGCAACUUAAAGGGGCCCACACUUGGCUUUUACAAUUGGAAAAAGGAAUCCUAGUGCAAGCUUAAUUGGUGAGCACGUGAGUGAGAGCAAAGAAAAUUAAAAGGCCAAGCCUUUUGGCUUAAGGAAAUAACAAGGUCGGUGGGGCCCAUUUUAAAGAGUAAUAUAAAAGCAAGCUUUUGGCUUUUGGAGAGAGAAGCCGCCAGAGGAGGAAAACGCGAGACAAAGAGAAGAAAAUAUGCCGCAGUUCGACUUCUAUGGUUGGUUUUAUCUCUUUUGUUACUCUUAAUUCAAGUAUGUCUAGCUAAUUUUCUUAUAUUGAAGUUAAGGAUGAAAUCAUAUUCAAUGAAAUAAUUAUCUUUUUAUUUAUUUAAUUCCCAUAUAUGUUCUUUAAUGAUUAUGAUUUUUAUUUCACAUGAUUAAUUGGAUGUUAUUAAAAUCUUUUCAUCAAUUCUGUCAUAUAUUAUUGAUUGUUAUGAUUAAUAUUAAAUUAAAUCUAUACUUGGAUUUAUAAAGUUUAUACAUGAUUAUCUUUGAUUCUAUGUCUUUCAUUAAAUUGUUUACAUGGAGUGCCUAGGAAAACUUUGACUCUUUGUUAUUCAAUAUGUUCACAUGGGAUACUUAGAUGUCGUACUAUUAAGCGGAAAAAGAACCUAUAUUAGAUUUAAUUAUUUGGGCUUAAUUGUUAUAUCCAUGAGAUGACAUAGAUUGAUUUCGAGUUGUCACUCUAAAAUUGGGGAUUAAUGAAUAUUUAGAUAAUUACUAGUUGAAUAGUGGUGGAUUCUGAAACCUUGGUAAUUUCUAUCUUAUUGAAUUCUCCUUUACUUUAAUUGUUUUCUUAGUUUAAUUAGUUUAAUUUCUCUUAAAACUCAAUUCGCUCAACUAGGUUAGAAUUAAUAUUAAUUUUAGAUUUAAAUUAGACUUUUCAAUUUAUAACAAUCCCUGUGGGAUCGACCUCGUUACCACUACUCUAUUUCUAGAUUCGUGCGCUUGCGAGUAUAUUAAAAUUUUCACAACAUUCGGCACUCUCACUCCUUAAGAGAGGUCAGGGGUUCAAGCCUCGCUCUCGUAUGGAGUCACCACUUUGACCAGCACUUUACCCCUUACAGACCGACCCGGUGCGAGCAUGAAUUAGUCUGGGUUGUGGUACGGGCUUAAAGGUGCCUCCCACAAUUGAGACCCACUCAGGACCACCUCGUGGUUCGGACAAAAAAAAAAUUGAAAUAAAUUAUCUCAAAAUAAUUACUAACCAGAAAAAACAAAGGGGUUUAACUAGGUUAUGCAUACCUUUGAAAAUUAUAUGUUGAUCGAUAAGCAUGAUGAUCACGAUUGAGGAGUUUAAUUAAAAUUUAUAAGAUUUUAAAAUUAAUCAGGGUUAAAUUCUAAAUUUUAGAAAGAGAGGUUUUGUGAGAAUGCUGAAAGGGUGUUAAUAGUUCCACUCUUUUUUAAAAAAACCAUAGUCAUCAUUUUUCCCGAUUUCUUCUUCCCAUCUCCAUCUUAUUUAGAAAUUUCCCAGAGCCUUUGUUUCCCACCAUUCAUUUUUCUUCUUUCUAAUUUAAGAUUAUAGUAUUAUAAAAAUAAUUACUCACAUUUUAUCAAACACCUCCAUUAUACCAAGGCCUUGUUUUAGUAGUAGGCUUUUAUUAUCUCAAUAAAAUUGAAAAAACAAAGCUCAAUAAUAUUGGAAAAAAAACCUACCCAUAUUUGUAACUUUAAUUUAUUAUUCUCCAUAGACCUACUUUUUAGCUUUGAAUUUUGUUGGAGCCAUAUAUAAACAGAAUAUGUUGAAAUCAGCACAAAAAAAAAACUAAUUAUAUAAUUUUUGUUCCCAAGGACACGACUGUGUGAUUUUUAAGAAGUUUUGUUUGGCUGGCCACUUAGGUUUAAAUCUUGGUGGAGAUUAGGGGUUAAGAAAUAAAUUUGGACUUUGCACACCCCUUUAACUUUUAAAAAGAAUGAAAAAAACUAAUUAAUUAAUCUUUAUUUUAUUUAUUAAAUGUCAUAAUCAUAUGCAUAUUUUAUUUGUUAUCUUUCUAUUUAAAAGAUAGGAGGGCAAAUAAAACUGAAAUAAAUGUUUAUCCCUAUCUCCAUCUUUCAAGUUCCAUAGUUAGGUGACCAGCUAAAGAAAAUUAAUUGAAAGUUACUCCAUCAAAUUAAAAAAAAUUAUUUAUUUAAUUUGUGGAGAUGUAGAAAAUCAAACCCCAUACCUUUUCGCAUGCAAAAGUGUCAACCUGGUCUAGCUAUGUUGCAACAGUAAACAUAUUUUAAUACAUGACUAUCAUCUUUUAUCCUAAAUACUACUAUAACUAUGGGUUCAGUUAUGCUGUAACUGUGGUAUGGUACCACAGUUGUUUUCAACCAUUAAAUUCAACUUAUAUAACUAUGCAACUGUAGAUCUAACGGCUGAAAGCAACUAUGGUACCAUACCACAGUUGCAACAUAGUUUUGCCCCUAUAACUCAUAACAUUCAAUUGAAAUAAUAAAUGUUAACACUUGGCUAUAAAUAAAGGUUUUGUACUUGAAUCUUCAUGCAUGACCUUCAUUCCUUUAUUGACUUUGCUAACACAGAUUUUGAGGCAUUAAAACUAAAUAAUAAUUGACUUUGUGGGCCGAGGAUGCCAGCAACAAGGAGACCACAAUUAUCACUAGUUAAGUUACUCUAAUUGCCGUUGUCUUAUAUUCAUAAAAUAUUAGUAAUAAGAUUAUUGUAGAAUUUUUUUAUAUUAAAAUUAAGUCAAUUUGUUAUAACAAAUUUAGUUGAGUUUAAUCGUGUUACUACAUACAUUGAAUAAUAAUAGAAUUCUCGACAAAUAUUUCAAUAUUUUUAUCCCAAGCGUUGGAGUGGCAUUUAUUUGUUAGACAAUCGAUUUUAGAACUUAUAAAAUUAUUCGUUACUGAAUUGCACCAUAUGCUGCAUGACCUGAAACUUAAUAAACGGAACGUAGCGUUGGCAACAUUCACUGUCAUGACUUUGUGACAUUAGAAUUAAAUUUUUUUGCACAUUUAAUUUGUUUACUUCCAAAUUAAUAUUUAACAAAAUAUUUUUUCACAUUAUCAAUGGACAAAACUCCAACGAAAAUAACUAUACAAUAUAUGCUAGUAUUGUAUGCCAUAUCAUCUGUAAUUUUGUCAGGAUCGAUCAUUUUAAUUUUUAAGCAAAACUUUUUAUCAAUGGACAAACACCUCACACAGCUUGUCAGAGGCAUUAUUAUGAUGGAAAACUGAUAAACAGUGAACUCGAAACUCAAUUACUACAAGUCGUUUAGAGGAUUCAGUCUUGGAUGACUUGUCACUUGUGGAAUUCUUGAAGCCAGAACCGACAUAAUCUCAGUCGUCAUUCUGUCUUAAGUAAUACACAUGGUUUGCAUGUGUGUUGAAGCUGACUCUUUGCUUGGAUCAAGAAACGACGUCUUUGAGUGCCGUUUCUUAAACACACUUUAAAUCAGCUUGUGUCAAGCACGUGAGGUAGAGCUUUUUGAAUAGAUUUGGCGGGAAUGGUAGUUAGUGUAACAACCCAGAAAUAGAGGUUAAAAGGUGAAGGCUUUGUCAUCAUCUACACAUGAUUUGGGAAACAUUGAGAGUAGAGAAAAAGAUAGAGAGAGAAAGGGGUUAACAAGUUCUUGUUCUCUGUAAAUCGAUUUAUAUUCUUGUAAAGUUUGUGAUCUCAAUUAGUGAAAGACUGUUGCUUUGUUUCCAGUGGAUGUAGGCACCACUUCUUGGUGCUGAACCACUUAUACUUGGUGUCAUAUUGUUUCUUUAAUGCUUUGAUUCUUGCGUGUGAUUGUUGCUGGAUAAUCUGUGCUGUUAAUUCUCAAACCAUUGAUACAGAAUUAAUGUCUUGGGGAGAAUUUGGUUAGUCUUAUCAAAGCCGAAUUCACAACAAAUUGGUAUCAGAGCCCUCUUUUCUGUAUCAAGGUUCAAGAAAUGACUAACAAGGUGGAUCUUGAGAAGUUCAAUGGUCAGAAUGAUUUCAAUAUGUGGAGGAUCAAGAUGGAAGCAUUGUUAAUCACACAAGGUCUGGGAGAUGCCAUUGAUCCAGUCAUUAAGAGUGAAAAUGCAGAAGCCUAUUCUUCAAGAACUCCAGAACAGAUGGCUAAGAUUGAAAAAAAGGCAAGAAGCACCAUCAUCCUCAGUCUUGGUGACUUAGUGAUAAGGGAAGUUGCCAAGAAAAAGACUGUUGCUAGGCUCUGGGCAAAACUGGAACAAUUGUAUAUGACAAAGUCCUUAGCAAACAGGCUAUACAUCAAGAAAAAGAUGUUCUCACUGAGGAUGAUUGAAGGAGCAUCACUUGAUGAACACAUAGAUGAGUUUAAUAAAGUUUGUGAUGAACUGGAAACAAUUGAUGAAGGACUGAGUGAUGAGAGCAAGGCUUUGCUGUUAAUCAGUUCUUCACCAAAAUCAUAUGAACAUUUUGUGGAUGCCUUGUUAUAUGGAAGGCAAUCACUCUCCUUGGAAGAGGUUAAAUCUACUCUUGGUACCAAGAAGUUAAAAGAAAAACAAGAUAACUCAGAGAGUGAAUCAAGUGAAGGGCUGAUGGCAAGGGGCAGAUCUGAAAAAAAGGAGUACAAAGGAAAAAAACAAGGGAGAUCAAAGUCAAAGCAGAAACAUUUGAAGUGUUUUCACUGCCACAAAGAAGGGCAUUUCAAGAGGGAUUGCCCUGAGAGAAAAACAAAGCAAAAGGAAUCAAAAGACAAAUCUGGAAAUACAGCAAUAGCCACAGAAGAAACCAGUUUUGAGAUAGCUGAAGUCCUCAUUGCCACAAAAGAAAAAAACUCAAGGUCAGUGGGUACUAGACUCUGGAUGUACUUUUCAUAUGAGUCCAAAUAGAAAUUACUUUACUACAUAUCAGUCCUGUGAUGGGGGUAUGGUGCUGAUGGGAAAUAAUUCAGUUUGUAAAGCAGUUGGGAUUGGGACUGUAAGCCUUAAGAUGUAUGAUGGCAUGGUUAGAGAACUAACUCAGUUUAGGCAUGUUCCUGAGCUUAAAAGGAACCUAAUAUCUAUUGGCAUGCUUGAUCAAACUGGAUGUGUCAAUAAGGCUGAAAAUGGGUCAUUGAAAGUUAUCAGAGGCUCAAUAGUCAUAAUGAAAAGUUCCAAGCAAAAUGGUUUGUAUGUGUUGAAUGGACAUACAACUGUUGGAGAGGCAAGUGUCACUGAGAAGAGUGAAGACAAAGCAAGACUAUGGCACUUGAGGUUGGGGCAUAUGAGUGAAAGGGGAUUGAAGGAGCUUCAAAAGAAUGGGGUGUUUGGAAGUGACAAGCUAAGUUCUUUGGGGUUCUGUGAAGACUGUAUCCUAGGGAAGGCUUCCAAUCUCAAGUUUGAAUCUGCAGUUCAUUCUACCAAAGAGAAGCUUGCAUAUAUACACUCUGAUAUGUGGGGGCCUGCACAGGUAAAUUCUCUUGGUGGCUUUAAGUAUUUCUUAUCCUUAAUAGAUGACUAUUCAAGGAUGGUUUGGGUGUAUGUACUCAAAACCAAAGAUGAAGCUUUGGAAAAGUUUUAGAGGUGGAAAAUUCUGGUAGAAACACAGACAAGUUUGAAAGUAAAAGCUCUAAGAACAGAUAAUGAAUUGGAAUUCUGCAACAAAGAGUUUGGAGACUUUUGUAAAAGACAUGAGAUUAUGAGGCACAAAACAGUCAUACACACACCUCAGCAAAAUGGUUUUGCUGAGAGAAUGAACAGAACCUUAAUGGACAAGGUGAGGUGUAUACUGCUAUACUCAAAGCUGCCUAAGUCACUCUGGGCAGAGGCCUUAAACACAGCAUGUUACUUGGUAAAUAUAAGUCCAUCUACAGCAAUAGAAUGCAAAACACCUAUCGAGCUAUGGUCUGGAAGGGUUGCAGAUUACUUUAAACUGAGAAUCUUUGGAUGUGUUGCUUAUGCAUAUGUCAAACAAGGCAAAUUGGAGCCAAGAGCUUUAAGGUGUAGAUUUCUAGGAUACCCUGAUGGAGUUAAAGGCUAUAGGCUAUGGUGCAUUGAUUUGAAGCCACCAAAAUGCAUUAUCAGCAGGGAUGUAACUUUCAAUGAGUCAGAAAUCUUGAACAAAUCCAAAACCACUUAAUCCAAAGAUCAUAUAUCAGAAACAAGACCUGGGAGUGUUCAGUUUGAGGUGGAGUCCUAUGAACAAGAUAGGACUGAAUCAGAAACUGAAGGAGAUUCAGGAAGGGUUACUGAUGGAUUUGAUGUUGUUCAGGAGUCAGAGCCAGCUGAGAAUGAAGAUAAUUCUUAUCAGUUGGUCAGGGAUAGAAAGAAGAGAGCUGUAAGACCACCUAAGAGGUAUACAAUAGCAGAUUUCAUAGCUUAUACAUUAACAGUUGCACAAGAGGUAAAUGAGGAAGAGCUAAGAACCUAUAAAGAAGCUAUAAACAGCAUGGAUAAGAUGAAAUGGAAGGAGGCUAUGGAUGAGGAAAUUGAAUCACUAAUGAAAAAUGGAACUUGGAAGCUGAUAGUUAGACUAGAAAAAAGGAAGACUGUUAGCUGCAAAUGGAUCUUCAAAGUUAAGGAAGGUAUAUCUGAUGCUGAACCUAGUAGGUUUAAAGCUAGGCUGGUAGCAAGAGGCUUCACACAAAGAGAGGGGAUUGAUUUCCAUGAAAUCUUCUCUCUAGUUGUGAAACAUGCCUCCAUCAGAGUCAUCUUAGCUUUAGUUGCCAUUCAAGACAUGUACCUGGAGCAUAUGGAUGUUAAAACAGCCUUCCUGCAUGGUGAAUUACAAGAAGAAAUUGUAAUGGAACAGCCUGGGGGGUAUGUGGUGUCUAGUAAGGAAAAUCAUGUGUGCUUACUAAAGAAAUAUUUAUAUGGAUUAAAGCAGUCUCCUAGGCAAUGGUACUUGAAGUUUGAUAGUUUUAUGACAAAACAUGCCUACAAGAAAUGCAAUUAUGAUUGUUGCGUGUACUUUAGGGACAUUGGUGAUGGAAAGAUGAUUUAUCUUAUGCUGUAUAUGGAUGACAUGCUUAUAGCAUGUCACAGCAUAGAUGAAAUCAGUCAUUUAAAGAAUCUCUUGAGCAGUGAAUUCGAUAUGAAAGAUCUUGGAGCUGUAAGGAAGAUCUUAGGUAUGGAAAUUAUCAGAGACAGGAGAAGGAAGCUUAUGUUUUUAACCCAACAGAGCUAUGUUAAGAAGGUGUUGCUUAGAUUUGGGAUGCAUGAAUCCAAGUCUGUUCAAACACCUUUGGCAAAUCACUUCAAGCUGUCUGCUGCACAUUGUCCACAAACUGAUGCAGAGCAAGGAAAAAUGGCAAGGAUACCUUACUCCAGUGCAGUUGGGAGCCUCAUGUAUGCCAUGGUUCUCACUAGACAUGAUAUCUCACAUGCUGUGAGUAUAGUGAGUAGAUUCAUGGCAAAUCCAGGUUAUGAGCAUUGGAGGGCAGUCCAGUGGAUAAUGAGGUACCUGAAAGGCACUAUGGAGUUUGGUCUGCUAUAUGGAGGGUUAAAACAGGAAGGGCACAAGCUGGUGGGGUAUGUUGACUCAGACUUCGCUGGAGAUCUUGAUAAAAGGAGGUCUCAGACAUGUUUUAUAUUCACUUUGGGAGGCUGCACUGUGAACUGGAAAGCUACUCUGCAAAGUGUGGUAGCUUUGUCCACAACUGAAGCCGAAUAUACAGCAGCUGCAGAAGCUUUUAAGGAAGUCAUCUGGUUAAAAGGAAUGGUCUCAGAGUUAGGAGCAAAACAAGAAACAGUUGAAGUAUACUGUGAUAGCCAGAGUGCAAUACAUUUGAGUAAAAACCAGACCCAUCAUGAAGGAACAAAACAUAUUGAUGUAAAGCUUCAUUUUGUAAGACUUGAAGUUUCAAAGGGAACUGUGAAGAUGCUCGAGGUUCACACUGAUCAAAAUCCAACCGAUAUGUUGACUAAAGCUGUGCCUUCUGCCAAGCUCAACUUCUGUUUGAGCUUAGCAGGAAUUUGCAGUUUCUGAUCAGCUGCAAAAGAAAGGGAAUAAAGUAUACAGGAGUAGCUAGAGUUCAGAGUUCACACUGAUUAAAAGGUGCAGGCUUUGUCAUCGUCUACACAUGAUUUGGGAAACACAGAGAGUAGAGAAAAAGAUAGAGAGAGAAAGGGGUUAACAAGUUCUUGUUCUCUGUAAAUCGAUUUCUAUUCUUGUAAAGUUUGUGAUCUCAAUUAGUGAAAGAUUGUUGCUUUGUUUCCAGUGGAUGUAGGCACCACUUCUUGGUGCUGAACCACUUAUGCUUGGUGUCAUAUUGUUUCUUUAAUGCUUUGAUUCUUGCGUGUGAUUGUUGCUGGAUAAUCUGUGCUGUUAAUUCUCAAACCAUUGAUACAGAAUUAAUGUCUUGGGGAGAAUUUGGUUAGUCUUAUCAAAGCCGAAUUCACAACAAAAACUGUAAUGGUAUAUCUUGAAUUAUUGGUAGAAUAGUUCUUUGGAGCAAUAAAAACAGAUAAGACAGAUGAGAAAAUUGUCAAUACCCCACCGCAAAAGCAAAAGAAAACAAGGAAAGGAGACAAAAGAGGAAGAAGAAAAAGAAAAAAGAACGAAGAAAAAAAUGGUGCCGUGCGGUAUAGGCAAGAAGAAAAAAUAAUAAAAAAUAAUAAAAUAAUAGUGCACAACAAUCAUUUGAUUGCUAUAAAUAAAAGGCGUUUCCCUCAUUUUAUUCAUCGAAUUCUUCAGUUCCUUUCAAGCGAUUUAAGAGUCUAGUGAUUUGAGAGUUUGGGUGUAGUAUGAUUUUGGGUAGUGAGCUAAAAUACUACAAUACUUGUAACUCAUUUUUAUUAGUAAAAUAUUUUCCUUCUGACUUCGCCCGUGGACGUAUGCUAAAAGCCGAAUCACGUAAUUUCUGGUGUCCCUAUGUGAUUAUGUGUCUCAUUAUUUCUUAAUUUCACUUUAGUUGCGUGUCUGCGACACCCCUCAAUUUAUUAACAAAAAAUGGCCAAAAUUAUAUAAGUGACCCAAAUUUUUUUGUUAUUUCCAAGAAAUCCCCAAUCUGAAUGGGCUAGACCAGAGGGAGGCAAGUUAGAAAUACAUUUCCUUCAUAGACAAUAACAGUGAUGAGUCGAUGACAUCAAGCCACGUCGGUAUCAAUAUUGAAUUAAAGGUGCAAUUAUUCAGCCAAUGAACCUUACACAUCAAGAUAAAAGUCAAGAAAAUGAAAAUUUAUCCCAAUUAAAACACUUUCUGGCUGCAUUUAGUUGUUUCCAUUAGAAGUUAAAAACAACGUUUCUUUCGUUUUGUGGGCAACUCAACUGAGUUAGCUGGCUUCUAGUGCUAGUAUGUGAAAAUAGAAGGCUAAUGAUUUAUUUAUUAUCUUUUGACAAAAUUAUUAAAGAUAUAAUAGAUUUUCUAUGAUACAAGUGAAAAAUCACAUCAACAUAGCUUUCAAUCUACAGCAGCUAGCGUUUACCAAACACUUUGUUGUAGCUUUUAAGCUAUAGCUGCCCAACCUCAAUCUCAAACGCACCCUUAAUAGGUUGAUUGAAUUUGUGAGAUAUGGAUUCCACAUAUCUCAUGACCUAGUAAUUAUACAAGUGGUUCGUGAUCAAGACACAACAUUUGCUUCCGGCCUAGUGACCCAGCAAUCGCUGCACUGGUCGCCACCUAUGGUGCCGACGAUAUUGCAUGGUCCAAUUGUGGCCUUGAAUGGAAAAAGUUGAGCAAAUUAUUUGUGGACACGAUGAUAAGUAACGCAAGCCUUGAUGCUAGUUAUGGUCAAAGAAAACAAGAGGUUAAGAAUACUAUCAGAGAUAUUCAUAACAACAAAAAGGAAAAAAAAAAGGCAUUUGCAAGCCCAUUGAUAUUGGUGAAUUGUCGAUUUCAACUUUGGCAUGUGUAAUCCAGAACCUGCGCGCUGUGGUAUGGCGCUGGCACGCUUGCAUUAACGAGGGGACAAGUCUUGGGGCUGAGCUAACAUUUAAGCUCGCAGAACUCAUGGUGCUAAUGGGAACACCAAAUAUUUUUUUGACAUAUUUUGGUGCUUUCAUGGUUUAAUUCAAGGUAUAGAAAGGAGUGUUGAGAAUGUCAAAUAAAACGGCAUUGAAUGGAAGUUGUCAAAGACACGAUCCGCACCGAACGGCAACGACACGGUUGCUAAAAAUCCUUCCAUAAUAUGCAUAUCUAAUUUUUUAAAAAGUGUAACCUCUGCAUUUAUAAAUAUACUCAAUGUAUAAUGUUUUACUUAAGAAAUGAAAAACUUGUUUGUUCAAGGAGAAUAAAGAAAAUUUUUCUAUGAUUUUUUUAUGGUUUGAACAAAGAAGGUUUUAAUGAGUAUUAUAGACCUCGAUUGAAUGUUCGAAUGUAUAAUAAAAGAGAAACUGUCACAUAAAUGACAAAGAUACUUGGAAAAAAAAAAAGGGCAGCAAUAGAGAAUUAGAUUCGACUGCACAAAUAACUAGUUAAUUCAUCAAUACAUCAUUUUCUUGCUAGAAAAUGACAAUUAUGACAGCAAGCCACGAUAGUGUCAAUAUUGAAAUUGAUUUGCAAUUAUUCAGCCAAUGUGCCUUACACGUCAAGAUAAAAGUCAAGAAAAUGAAAGUUAAUAUCAAUUAAAACACUUCCUGGGCCGCAUUUAGCUCCAGUUUUUGUGGUAGGAAAACAAAGUUUUGUUUUAAAUUCACAUGGUGUGCACUUCCUAUAUAAAUCUAGAGUUGUGUCCCACGUUGAACAAUAAAGGAAAGUCACCUAAAUAUACAUGUAGGAUAAGUUACUUUAUUUAGUAAGUUUGUAUUUUCUUCUUUCUUCUAGUUUACAUAUAAAUUUGAUUAGAUAACUUAACACAUAUUUUAAUACUUGAUCAGAAGCCCUACGUACAGGUGGAUCUAGAAACUUGAUUUCUAAGAGUAAUACUAUAAUAAAAAAAUAAUGAUUCAUAGAACCAAUAUCAAAAUUUGUUUACAAGAUUACCCCCACUCAAAGGUAAUUUUCAUAGAAAUUAAUAGGAAAUUUAAUUGUUAGUGGGGUCAAAUUGCCCCCACACUCUGAAUGUAGAUCCACGCCCGACCCUGAGUCAAGUAUAUUUUGCCACAUAUACUCUGAAUGUCGGCAGGAAAAAUCUUCCACUUUAGUUUAAAAUUUUCACUUAAAAUUUAUUUACGUUAAUAAAGUUGGUAAAGGAAAUGAGUUUAAUUAAAGAAUAUUAUAGGAGAAAUUCUAUUGUUUGGCUUUUAAUAAAUUAAUUAAUAGGUUUAAAAAGAUUAAUAUACAUCAAAAUAUUAUUAGUUGGUGGUGGUUCCACAUCGGACUAAGACGUGGCACCUUACUUGUGAGAUUAAGACAAUCAGGCUUAGACUAUUUAAAUAUGUUUGAAGCUUAGAUGGCACCGCUUCAAUUUGCAUUAAUGAAUGUCAUUCUUUACCCUAAUUACUACGUAAUUGAUAACAUGCAAUUGAAAUAACUAAUAUUAGCACUUGGCUAUAAAUGAACUAAAGGCCGUGCAAUUGAAUCUUUACUUGAUCACUUCAUUCCUUUAUUUUGCUAACACAGAUUUUGAGAUAUUAAAACGAAAUAAUAAUUGAAUCUGGCUUUGUGGGUCGAUGAUGCCAGCAACAACGAGACCACAAUUAUCACUUGUUUAUUUGCUGUAUUUGACGUUGUUUCAUAUUGGUAGUAAUAACUAAUAAGGUCGUUGUAGAGUUUUUAAUCUUUUUUUUUAUAUUAAUCACGAGGUAUCCUGGGGAGGGCCCCAACUGUGGGAGGCACCUUUAAGCUCGUACCACAACCCAGACUAGAAGUCCCCGCUCGAACCGGGAGGCACAGUUUUUAAUCUUUUUUAUAUUAAAGUUAAGUCAAUUUGUUAUAAAUAAAUAAAAAAUUGGUUGAGUUUAAUUAUAUUGCUAUGUACAUUAAAUAAUUAUAAUAUUCUCGAGGGAAAAAGACACCUAGAACCUCAAGGUUUGGGGAAAUGGUCACAAAAACUCCUAAGUUUUAAAAAAGGAACACUAAAAUCUUUUUUUACCCAUAAUACCCUUUGACUAUAGUAAUUAGAAAAUUGACUUUAAAGGUUUUUAAAUAAUACAAAUUUAAUAUAAAUCAUAUAAUCUAUCUAGUACACUAAUAAUAUUAAAUUAUUUUUUAUAUUUAAAAUAAUGUUAAAAAAUUUAAAUUAUUAUAUUUAUUUUAAUAAUAUAUUUAUAAAAUUAUAAAGAUUUUAAAUAAAUCUUUGGAUUGAAUAUAUUUUACAAUUAAAAGUCUUCCUAUUAAUAAUAUUAAAAUUAAAUUUUAAGUAAUAUAUAUUCAAAAUAUUUUUAAUUUAAUUUUAUUUAUUUUAAUAUUAUGUUUCUAUCUAUUAUUAAAAAUUACUUUAAUAUAAUAAAAUAGGUCUAAUAGAUUGAAAAAUAUGAAAAUAUUUUUAAAAUUUUAAAUUAUUUUGAAAUGUAUAUAUUAUUACAUUUAUUUCAAUGUCAUAUUUCCAUUUAUUAUAAAAUUUUGGGGUUAUUUUUUUGGGAAUUUAUAGAGUCAAAGAGCAUUAUGGUUAAAAAAGAGUCUUGGUGUCCCUUAUUGAAAACUUUAGAGUUUUUGUGACCAUUUUCCUAAAUCUUGGGGGUGUUGAAGUGGCACUUAUUGUAAGAUUGAUUUUAAAAUAUGUAAAAUUAAUUUUAUUACAUUACCAUAUGCUACAUCACCUGAAACUUAAUAAAUGGAACGUAGCAUUACUCCACGUUCACCGUUAUGACCUUAUGACAUUAGAAUUAAAAUCUUUCGUACGUUUAAAUUGUUUACUUCCAAAUUAAUCUUUCGUAAAUAUUUUGUACAGAUCUUAUCGGAGUUAGCGUGUUCAUUACAGUGUUUCUUUUCUUUUAUCCUUUCUUUUGAAACGUAUUUCCUGUGGACAAGGAAAGCAAAUAAUACCCUGCCACCAGGACCUCGCGGCUUGCCUGUAAUCGGAUACCUUCCAUUUCUCGGAAUUACUGACUUACACAAGACAUUCACGGAAUUAGCUGGUCUAUAUGGCCCGAUCUUCAAACUCUGGCUUGGCAACAAAUUGUGUGUAGUGGUUAGCUCGCCUUCAACUAGUUCUAUAAGAAUAUCCCUUUUAAGGGAUUCUCUCUCUGCAAAAUUUUUUUAUCUUCUGGUGCAUAAUAAAAACUUAUGCCACUUCAUUAACCACAGAUAUCUUUUGAGGAAACGAUGUUUCGUUUUCUUUUGUUUUUUCCUUCCUAAUCCUCGCAUAUCGUGUGAAGGCUAAUAUAUCCAAGAAUCUAAAUCUCUGUAAAUCUUUUUCUAUCCAAAUCUACAUAAUAAUUUAAUCCAUGCACAAUAUCUAUAAUUAUAUCGGCUGUCGGCUGAUUUCGUGGAGGGGGCGGCAGUUCAAAUUUUUUACGUGCAUGUUGGAUGGACGUCUCUAUUAAAGGAGAGCCACCACUUGCAUGGUAAUUUUUUUAAAUAAAUAUAUACAUUUCAAAAUAUUAUUUCAUUGUUGUAUAGUUAACAUGUCACCUUAGAUGUAUUUUAGAACUUCUCCUAUUAAAGAUAAUCUCAUGCAGUGAUACUUCUCGUGAUCUAAUCAUUAGUAGAAUCUAUAAUUUCGCUACUGUAAUAAAAUCUGUCCCUACCCUAUAUGAAUGUAGAUAUUUGACGCGAUUUGUAAUUGCUUCCGACAGGAAAACAGCAAUAGUUUAAUUGAAAUUUGUGGUAUGGAUUCCACGAAUCUUAUGACAGAAUACUGACCACUCCAACCCUAUCCACAUUUACACGAUUAAAACACAAGCUUAGAUGUGACAAUGCAUUUGUCACUUUUGUUCAAAUUCAUCCUGAAACACUAUACACUAAAUAAUCGAAUAUGGCUUCGUGGGUCGAUGAUGCUAGCAGCAACGAGACUGCAAUUAUCACUUGUUUUGUUGCUGUACUUGUCGUGGUCUAUUUCGCAUGGAAUGUAAACAAAUCAAGUAAAGCAAAUGCUAAAUUGCCACCAGGAUCUCGGGGCUUGCCAGUAGUCGGAUACCUCCCAUUUCUUGGAACUACUGACUUACACAAGACAUUCACGGAGUUAGCUGGAGUUUAUGGUCCGAUCUUCAAGAUUUGGCUUGGGAAUAAAUUGUGUGUAGUGGUGAGCUCGCCUACCCUAGUUAAACAAGUGGUCCGUGAUCAAGAUAUAACAUUCUCAAACCGCGACCCACCGAUCGCUGGAACUGUGACCACCUACGGUGGCAAUGAUAUUGCACUUUCCAAUUAUGGUCCCGAAUGGAAAAAGUUGCGAAAAUUAUUUGUGAGCAAGAUGAUGAGUAAUGCAACCCUUGAUGCUUGUUAUGCUCUAAGAAAACAAGAGGUUAAAAAUACUAUCAGGGAUUUGUACAACAACAAUAAGGAUAAUAUUGGCAGUGGCAAUGGCAAGCCCAUUGACGUUGGUGAAUUGUCGAUUUCAACUUUGGUACGUGUUAUGCAGAACAUGCUGUGGGGUCAAGCAUUGGAAACAAGAGAGAAAGAGAUUACUAAUCUCGGGGCUAAUCUUGCAGAACUCAUGGUGCUACUGGGAACACCAAAUAUUUCGGAUAUUUUUCCAGUGCUUUCAUUGCUUGACAUGCAAGGUAUAGAGAGAAGAGCUAAGAAGAUUUCUCUAUGGUUUGAAAACAUUAUCAAUUCUGGUGUUGAACAGUAUAGAAACAAGUUUUCUGUUGUUAAAGGUGAAGAAGCUGCAGCAGGAAAAAAUAUUGAACGAUCAAGAAAUAAGGACUUCUUGCAGUUACUGUUGGAGCUUCAGGAAAAUGAAGAUAGUGCUUCAUCUAUUAGCAUGAACCAACUAAAGGCCGUGCUCGUGGUAUGUUAAGCAACUAGACACAAAAAGUUGUAAAAGCACAGUGAUAUAUUUGCGCGAGGCCGCGAGUGAUGUUUUGCCUCGAGAACUCUCAAUUUUAUCUUACGGUAAAAAAUGUUUUUCAACUUUUUUUAAUUAGAAUUUUAUUGCAAUUUAUUUAACAGGACAUAAUUGUGGCCGGAACCGACACCACAACUACGAUGGUGGAAUGGACAAUGGCAGAGUUGAUGCAACAUCCACAAGUAAUGAAGAAAGUUCAAGAAGAAUUAGCUCAAGUUGUGGGCAUGGACAGUUGUGUUGAAGAAUAUCACUUGCCUAAAUUAAAUUAUUUAGAUGCUGUGGUGAAAGAAACAUUUCGUUUGCAUCCUGCGUUGCCCUUAUUGGUACCUCGCACGGCAAGCGAGAACAGCAAUAUUGGUGGCUAUACCAUUCCCAACGACACUAAUUUUAUGUUGAAUGUUUGGGCUAUUCACAGGGAUCCUCAACUUUGGGAUAAUCCCUUAGAUUUUCGACCUGAGAGGUUCUUGAAUGAUGAUAUCAUAAGCAAAUUCAAUUACUCGGGUAACAAUUUUCAGUACUUGCCAUUUGGUUCUGGUAGAAGGAUGUGCGCUGGCAUUCCUCUAGCUGAGAGGAUGUUGAUGCUUGUUCUGGCUUCGUUGUUGCACUUGUUUGAGUGGAAAUUGCCCCCGGGCACAAAGCUAGACUUAGCUGAAAAGUAUGGGAUUGUCAUGCGGAAAAAAGAGCCUCUGAUUGCUAUUCCAACACCAAGGCUACCAAAUUCAGAUCUCUACCAGUAAGAUCAAAAUGGUUGUGAUGAUAUUAUUUCCCAUUGUAUUGGAAUAUUUUUGUGUGAUUUGAAGUUCAAUCAUAAUAAAAUAUUUUAAUAAAAUGUCCUCGGUUGCUAAUUUUUCAAUAGUAUACUCUAUCAUCGUUUCUAACUGUCUUUUAGAGCCAUUUGGUCUAAUUUAUUUUUGAAUUAAAAUCCAUAAAUAUUUAAAUUUUUGAAUCAUAUUAAGAAUUAUCUGGAGUGUAUGGUCUGAUCUUCAAGUUCUGGCUUGUAAACAAAUUAGAGUUCUGAUAUUUGCCCCGGGUCAAACCCCGAAAUUAAAUAAAACGGCGUCGUUUUGUUUUUUUUUUUUUUUUUUUCUUUUUUACUUCUUCCAAACGUUGCCAUUUCACUUGUCAUUUGCAAGUGACUCCAUUGAUCCUUAGUUGAAACAGAGUUACACCGUAAAUCUCUUCCUCUUCGUUUCUUCGUUUCACCAGGGAACGAGACAGAUAAAAUCCAGCCAUUCUUCGACAUAACAAGAUAUCGAUUAGAAUCCAACGACAUAACUAUAAACCAUGACAUUGCGCUUGAUUUUGCGAAAUACCGAUUAAGAACCAGUAACUUUGAAUCCAAUGACCGUUAAGAGUUUGAAAUUGGUUUCAAAUGACUAAUGAGUUAUCAGAUUUCUUUGCGUCUACAUUUUCCUUGAAGGUUUCUCAGCAGCCAAACAAAUACAAAGCAAAUUGCAGAAGAAACACAUUUUGUUCCAAUGAAAAAUGUACGGAAACAUUUUAAAUAUGGAAAAUUACCUCAAAAUGAAGGCUCGCAAGAGAUUCGAGCAACAAAUUAGAUCAAAGGAACCGGCGCUGAGCAAGAAAGUGAGCUCAAAGAUUCCGAAACACAAACGUAAAUUCACAAAAAUGCAAAUCUAUGAUGAACGCCAAGAUCAAAAUUUUCGAAGAAAGGGAGCUGAAAAAAUAAAUGAAACGUCAAACUAGAUGACAAUGGAUUUGCUUCUUCAAAGGAGACAAUGAAAUUGUUACUAGAGACAGCUAGAGAAAUAGAGAGAGAGAGAGAGAGAGCUUGAAUUGGCUGUACCCCCACCAGAAAGUGGGUAGUGCCUUUUCCACUUGGACUUGAUAUGCGAAUCUGAAAAAAUCUGAACGAAGGACUGACUCAUCCCAGCUCGAAAGCAAACCAAGCUAGGACUGACUGAAAACGUUGCCGUUUGGAGAAGUUAAAAAAAAAAACUAAACAAAACGACGCCGUUUUGUUUAGUUUCGGGGUUUGACCCGGAAUUUGACCCGGGGCAAACAUCAUUUUCCAACAAAUUAUGCAUGGUCGUGUACACGCUUUCCCUAAUUAAGCAUGAGGUUCGUGAUCAAGGCACAACAUUCACUCCCUGCGACCCAACAAUCGCUACAUUGUUUGCCACCUAUAGUGCCAACGAUUUUGCACGGUCCAAUUAUGGUCCCCAAUCGAAAACGUUGCGCAAAUGUUUUCUGGGCAAGAUGAUAAGUAACGCAAGCCUUGAUGCUUGUUAUGGUCUAAGAAAACAAGAGGUUAAUAUAUAUAUAUAUAUAUAUAUAUAUAUAUAUAUAUAUAUAUAUAAAUUGGCAUUGUCAACUUUUGUAUGUUUUAUUCAGAACCCGCUGUGGGUUGACGCUAGCAUGCUUGCGUUAGGAGACGAGGGGACCAAUCUUGGGGCUGAGCUAAAAUAUAAGCUUGUAGAGAUCAUCUUGCUAAUGGUAAUGUUUUCCGAUGCUGGUUUAAUUCAUGGUAUAAAAAGGAGAACAAAAAAGAUUUUUCUAUGCUUUGAAAAUAUUAUAAUUUUUAUUUUAUAAUUUUUAAUAAAAUCUCUCAUUGAUAGCCAAACAAUUAAAAUUUUUGUAAAGCUUUUGUGGACUUUUGAUCGCGUAUGGUGCCAAUGUAUUGCGUGGUCCUAUUAUGGUUCCAAAUGGAGAAAGUUGCACAAGUUUUUUGAGUACCAGAAGAUCAGUAAUGUAAGCCUUGAUGGUUGUUAUGGUCUAAGAAAACAAGAGGCUAAAAAUUCUAUCUGGGAUUUUUAUAACAACAACAAAAUUGGCAAGCCCAUUGACAUUGGUGAAUUGUCAGUUUCAACCUUGGUAAGUGCGAUUCAGAACAUGCUGUGGGGUGAAACGCUUGAAAUAACAAAGAAAUGGAUUUACUAAUAUUGGGGCUGGGCUAAGAUUUAAGCUUGCAGAACUCACGGUGCUAGAGGGAACACCGAAUAUUUUGGAUAUCUUUCCAGUGCUUUCAUGGUUUAAUAUACAAGGUUUUCAGAGAAUAGCAAAGAAGAUUUCUCUAUGGUUUUAAAAUAUUAUCAAUUCUACUGCUGAACGCUAUAGAAACAACGUCUCUAUUGUCAAAAGUGAAGAAGCAGCAGCAGCAGGGAACAAUAUUGAAGGAAGGAAUAAGGACUUGGUGCAGUUACGCUUGGAGCUUCAAGGUAAAGAAGACAAUGCUUCAUCAAUUAGCAGGACGCAAUUUAAGAGCUUGCUCGUGGUAUGUUGCGCAACUAGCCACAGACAGUUACAGAAACUGAGUUUGGCAGAUUACGACCGUUUCUGGUGAUUACAUAAUUAUUUGUGGCUGUUUUUUUUUUUUAAUUGUAAUUUUCUUAACAGGAUAUAAUUUAGGGUGGAACCAACACCACAACUAUAAUGGUGGAAUGGACAAUGGCAUAAUUGAUACAGCAUCCACAAGUAAUAGAGAAUGUACAGGUAGAACUAAAUCGGGCCGUGGCCAUCGACAGCCAUGUUGAAGAAUUUCACCUAGCUAAGUUAAAAUAUUUAGAUGCUGUGGUGAAAGAAACAUUCUGCACUGUAAUAUAAUACAUGAAUCAUAUGUCCUCUAUUGUUUUUUUAUUUUUCUCUUUUUUUCAAUAGCUUAAUCUAUCAUUAAAAUCUUCUGAAAUUCUAAAUUAAUAUACAUUCAACCUAGAGUUCAAGCCAAAGUUUUAUUGAGCAUUAAAAAAAAAAAAAAUUCUACGACUCAAAAUUUUGUGGAGUAUAAAUUAAAAAUUAUGCGCCUACUAAGAGACAAAAAAUAAAUGAUACACAUUAACCAAUCAAAGGCGAACAAGAGAUUAUUAACAAUAACCUAAUAAUAAAAUUAUAAUGAAUAAAAAAGAAAUGGUACCUAGAAACACAUCACAGCCAUUUAAGCAAUCACUUACCCACAAAAUCCAAACAUAUAAACUAUGUGGGGGGGGGGGGGGGGGGGGGGGGUGUCAUGAUACCUUUGGGUUUCAUGAUAAUCAAAAUUGCAAUACCAUUAAAGACUCAAAAAUAAAAAAAAUCAUAGCCAAUAAAAGAGAAAAAAUAACCCACAAAAAAUCAUCAAGAAAAUAAAUUUGAGACUAAGAGAAGAUAUUAAUUAAACCCUGGGUUGCCUUGGAACCACGGCUUUGGCUUCCAUUUUUCAAUUCUUGGCGACAAGUCAUUUCUUGUUUGUUUACAAAGAUGACGGCUGAUUAAUGAAGCUCUAUUAACAAUGAAUAAAUAAAAAAACUGGCGCCUUGAAAAGACUAACGGUCAUAUUUUUCAACUCCGAAUUAGUGCCGUUUGAUGAGUCCUUGCCAAAACAAUCACUAGGCAAAUAACAAUCAUUUUUCAACCAGCAAAACUCAUUCAUUGUAUUUCACCUUAGUCAAGAUUUAAAAAUUGUUUCAAAAUAAACCUAGUGGUUAGAACCCAAGCGUCACAAUUGUGAGGUCAUGGGUUUGAGCCCCCACAACGUAUUGUGGGGGUUAAUUUUCUUCUUCAAUUUGAGUGAAAACAGUUCUCUCCCUUUCGAAAUGUGGGUGGAGUGGACGUCCCUCAAAUAUUAGAGAGGGUUCAAAUUUGGAUUGUACUAUAUAAGAUUUAUAAAUUAGUCCCAGUAAUUAUCUGAUUGUAAAUAUCAAUAUACUAAUCUAAUUAAAUAUGAGUUGUAAUAUGAGCGUUAGUCUCAUGUAAUUAAAAAAAAAAUGUUUCAAAAUAGGAUUCUUAAAAGGUUGGGGAAAUGGCCAUCAAUAUCCCCAACUUUCCAAAAAGAGACACCAAGACCCAUUUUGACCAUAAUACCCUUUACUUCUAUUAUCCCCAAAAAAUUGACUCUAAUGUUUUAUAAUAAAUAAAAAUAUAACAUUAAAAUAAAUGUAAUAGUAUAUACAUUUUAAAAUAGUUUCAAUAUCUAAAAACCAUUUUAAUAUUUUAAAUCCUAUUAUAUAUAUAUUAAAGUAAAUUUUAUAAUAAAUAGAAUCAUAAUAUUGAAAUAAAUGCAUUAAAAUUUAAAUUAUUUUUAAUAUUAUGUAAAAUAAUAAUUUUAUCAUUAUAAGUAUAUGAGAAUUUUUUUAAUUGUAGAAUGUAUUUAAUGCAAAUAUUUAUUUAAAAUCUCUACAAUAAAUAAAAAUAUACUAUUAAAACAAAUCUCUACAAUAUAUACAUACAUACAUAUACAUUGGCCUGGUAUUUUAUUUUUCAUUUUUUAAACUUAUUAAAUCCUCUAACUAUCAUUUGAUUAUUUUUUUCAAUGAUGAAGAGGCCAUUGCCGGAUAAAUUAUUAAAAUCAACUAGUUCUACAAGAAUGUCCCUUUUUAAAGGAAGAUGAUUCUCUCUCUCGAAAUUUUUUAUCUUGUGCUACAAACUAAAAACUUAUGCCAUUUCAUUAACCACAGAGAUCUUUGAGGAAAUGAUGCUUCGCCCCCCCCCCCCCCCCCCCCCCCCCCCCCCCCCCCCCGCGGCGCCAAAAAGUGUCCUUCCAUAUUUUGUGAAGGCUAAUACAUCGAUGAAUCUAGAUUUCUUUAAAUUUUUUGUUUUACUCAAUUCGAGAUAAUAAAUAGUUUAUCUUUAUUAAAUCUUUACUUUAACAAUGAUAGAUAUUCAAUCCAUGCAAAUAUCUAUCAUUGUAUGAGCUGAUUGCGUGGAGGGAGCGGUAAUUGAAAUCUAAUUGAAAACAGCAGAAGGCUGUUCUUGACAGAUCUCAAAUAUAUUACGGACACGUUGGGAGACAUCUCUAUCAUAGAUAUCCCCAUGCAGUGAUAUUUGUCGUGAUCUAAUUUUUAGUAAAUCUGUAAGAGAGAUUGUAACAUCUUUCAAGUUUUUUGGUUUGAUAUUCUAGACGAAAACGGUUUGUCGUUUCUUGAGCAAACGGCUAACCGUUUAAGUCCAGAGAGCAUGUUUGUUGUUCUGGAUAAAACGGCUCACCGUUGUUGCGAAAACGGCUAACCGUUUAACUCAAGAGAGCAUGUUUUAUGUUCUAGAGAAAACGGCUCACCGUUAUUGAGAAAACGGCUAACCGUUUAUUUACAGAGAGCAACGUAUUUGAUAUUCUGGAAUAAAAUGGCUCACCAUUUAUUGAGAAAACGGCUAACUGUUUAUUUCCAGAAAGGCGUCAAUUAGAAAAACGGUUAGCAAGAAUGAAAAUUUCAAUUGACAAUCGAUGCAAAUUCAAACCAAAAGAGUGUCUUCGAAAAAGUACCAUUUCUAAUGGUUGUAUUCUUUCAAAUAAACAUCUUCUUCAUUAAAGAAAUACACACAAUUAGAUUGAUAAUCAGAUUUUGACAGGUUUCUUAUAUGUUCUGGAAAUACAAUCUUAUUUGCUAGAGAUUGUAUUCAGGAUUUGUUAUAUCUUGGGGGUAAUUUGCCAUUAAAACUAUAUAGCAAACCAAGAUUGGUGAGGGCAAAUAAAACCUUAAAGGAAAGUAUGCAAACACGUCUCAAAUCCUAUGAAACUUUCUUUGUUCUUUGCCUCCAUAUUCUUAUUAUUCACUAACAAAAUCCCCAUGCAGUGAUAUUUGUCGUGAUCUAAUUAUUAGAAAAAUCUAUGAUUUCGCUACUGUAAUAAAAUUUGUCACUACUCUACAUUAAUCUAAAUGUCUGAUGAGAUUUGUAAUUGCUUCCGACGGGAAAACAGUUAAUAGGUUGAUUGAAUGUAUGUGGUAAAGAUUCCACGUAUCUCACGACAGAAUGCUGACCACUGGAACCCUAUCUACUUUUACGCGAUUAAUUCACGAGCUUAGGCACGACAAUUGCAAUACAAAUUAUCCCUUCAUCAUAUAUUUCGUUAAAAUUCAUUCUGAAGCACUAAAACUAAACAAUCGAAUAUGGCUUUGAGGGUCGAUGAUGCCAGCAGCAAUGAGAGUGCAAUUAUCACUUGUUUAGUUUCUGUGCUUGCCGUGGCUUAUUUAGCAUGGAAUGUGAAAAAAUCAAGGAAAGCAAAUGCUAAACUGCCACCAGGACCUCGCGGCUUGCCUGUAGUCGGAUACCUCCCAUUUCUCGGGACUACUGACUUGCACAAGAAAUUCACGGAAUUUAUUUUACUAUUAUAUUUAUAUUCAAAAUAAUUUUAAUUAGCUUUUAAAAUGAAUGAUUUUAGGAAAUUAUAAAUAAAGGUAACUAAGAAUUCUCUUAAUGUAAUAUAUUAUUAAUUAGUUUAAAAAUACAAAUUUAUUAAUUAGAGAAAUUAUUAGUGAAUUUAAAUUAAUGAUCUUAAUGAUUUGUUUGUACGAUUGCCCCCAAUCAAAGGUAAUUUUCCUAAAAAUUAUUAGGAAAUUAGAGAAAUUUAAUUUUUUUAGUGGGUUCAAUUGCCCACACACCCCGACUGAAGCAUUUUUUACAAUAUGUACUCCGUUUGUCGGCAGGAAAAUAAAGGUCUUGACACAUGAUCACUUCACUCCUUUAUUUACUUUGCUAACGCAGAUUUUGAGGUAUUAAAACAAAUAAUAAUUGAAUAUGACUUUGUGGGUCGACGACGCCAGCAACGAGGAGACCGCCAAUUAUCACAUUUUAAGUUUGCUGUAAUUGCCGUUGUUUUAUAUUAGUAGAAUAUUAGUGAUAAGAUAAUUGUAGAGUUUUCAUUUUUUUAAUAUUAAAAUCAAGUCAAUUUAUUAUAAUAAAUUUAGUUGAAUUUAAUCGUAUUACCACAUAAAUUGAAUAAUAAUAGAAUUCUCGACAAUAUUUCAAUAUUUUAAUCUCAAGCAUUGGAGUGGCAUUUAUUUGUUAUACGGUCGAUUUUAGAAUUUAUAAAAUUAUUCGUUGCUGAAUUGCACCAUAUGCUGCAUAACCUGAAACUUAAUAAACGGAACGUAGCGUUGGCACCGUUACUCAACAUUCACUGUUACGACUUUGUGACAUUAGAAUUAAAAUCUUUUCCACAUUUAAUUUGUUUACUUCCAACUUAAUAUUUAACAAAAUGUAUGUUAGCAUUGUAUGCCAUAUCAUCUGUAAUUUUGUCAGGAUCGAUCAUUCUAAUUUUUAAGCAGAACUUUUUGUCAAUGGACAAACACCUCAUACAGCUUGUCAGAGGCAUUAGUAUGAUGUAAAAUUGUAAUGGUAUAUCUUGAAUUAUUUUAGAAUAGUGAAUAACUAUUUGGAGCAAUAAAAACAAAUAAGACAGAUGAGAAAAUGGCUAAAAUUAUAUAAGUGACCCAAAAUUUUUUGCUAUUUCCAAGAAAUCCCCAAUCUGAAUGGACCAGAGGGAGGCAAGUUAGAAAUACAUUUCCUUCAUAGACAAUAACAACGAUGAGUGGAUGACAUCAAACCACGUUGGUAUCAAUAUUGAAAUAAAGGUGCAAUUAUUCAGCCAAUGAGCCUUAGUACACAUCAAGAUAUAUAAAAGUCAAGAAAAUGAAAAUUUAUCCCAAUUAAAACUCUUUCUGGCUGCAUUUAGCUGUUUCUGUUUAGGGAUGGCAAUUUAAUCCGGACCCAGCCCGACCCGGAUGAAUCCAGAAAAUUCGGGGUGGAUUCAACCCGUACCGGAGUGAAUAAAAUCUGAUAUUCAAAUUCAAUAUUUUCAACCCGGACGUUUCCGAGUCCGGAUCCGGAUUUGGGUAAACCCGCAUAUCCGGAACCCGGAUCCGGAUAACUAUUUUAAUAUUAAUUUUUAAAUCAUUUUAAAAUAAAAAAAAAUUAGAAAAAAUCAGCCCUAAUGCCCUUCCACAGCCACGGCAGCCAAACCAAACCCAGACAUUUCCUCUCUCUCUCUUUAGCCCUUCUUUUCAACAAAUCAUCAUCGUUGCUCAUCAUCGUUUCGUCGUGUUCAUCUUCAUCUUCAUCAUCAGCUGCCGUUUGUCCAGCUAUGUCACUAGUUUUGGCCGCCGUUUCCGUUUGUGCACCUUCGCAAAUCGGGAUCUCGAUUUGGCCGCCAACACUUCUACCCCCUGGUGUUUUGCUUUGUCCUCGACAACUUCUUUGUUGAUAAAUUGACGGGCACUUAUGAAUGCAUUUGUCUCUGUUUCUUCAUUUACACCUUCCCAGUUGUUUGUUCAUUUGCUUUUUGGAAGGAAAAAAAAAAAAAAUCAGCCACCAUUUAUCCUUCCCCUUUUCUUGACCUAACCCCACAAAGCCCAAUUUGUCAUCAUCAUUCAUUGGCAAAUUUGUUAUCAUCAUGGUUGAGACAUCAUGAUUAUCUUUGAUAAUUGAAUUUGUGUAAUAUGUUACCUUGGAUUUUAUUUCUAAGUAUUUGAUUUUGAAUUAUUUUCCAUUAUUGGUGUUAAUAGAUAGAAGAUUAGAAAGGAAUUCUUCACUGAAUAAAGAGAUGGGAAAUUGCAUCUUUUAGCAAUCAUCCGGGUUAUAAACCCGGAAUCCGGAAACCAGGAUUUUUCCGGGUUUAACCCAGUCCGGACCCGAAUGAAAAAUAUCCGGGUUUACAUCCGGGUCUGGUAUUAAAAUUUAUCGUCCGGAUCCGGAACAGGGAAGACAAAACCCGGACCCGAACCCACAUUUUGCCAUCCCUAUUUCCAUUUGAAGUUAACAACAACGUUUCUUUCGUUUUGUGGGCGACUUGACUGAGCCAGCUGGAUUCUAGUGCUAGUAUGUGAAAAUAGAAGGCUAAUGAUUUCACGUUCACUAGCCCACCUCCCCUCCUCUCGUUUCCUCUGAAUCAAUUUUCACGUGUGGUACCGAUUGAAAAUAUCUCUGACAUUUCGUGGACAUCUCUAUUGAAAAUAUCUCAGACAUUUCACUCAGGCAAACUUAUUAAUAUAAAAAAUCUAUGAUUUUUUCGUCUUAUACUGUAGAAAAAUUUGUCUAUACAUUAAUCUAGAUGUUUGAGGUGGUUUAUACAUCUGUGGUAUAGAUUUAUAGGUUGAUUGAUACGUCUGUGGUAUAGAUUUUAUGUAUUUCAUUAUCAAAUGCUGGCCUUUGGGACCCUAUCUACAUCUAUUUAUAAAACUAACGGGUGCCAGUUAUGCCAUUACAAAUUAUCCCCUCUUCAUACAUUUCCUUAAAAUUCUUCUGAAACACCAAAACUAAAUAAUCGAAUAUGGCUUUGCGGGUCGAUGAUGCCAGCAACAAUGAGGCUGCAAUUAUCACUUGUUUAGUUUCUAUGCUUGCCGUGGUUUAUUUCGUAUGGAAUGUGAACAAAUCAAGGAAAGCAAAUGCUAAACUGCCACCAGGACCUCGCGGUUUGCCUGUAGUCGGAUACCUCCCAUUUCUCGGAACUACUGACUUGCACAAGAAAUUCACGGAAUUAUCCGGAGUUUAUGGUCCGAUCUUCAAGCUCUGGCUCGGAAAUAAAUUAAGUGUCGUGGUGAGCUCACCUUCCCUAGUUAAACAAGUGGUUCGUGAUCAAGAUACAACAUUCGCAGACCGUGACCCGCCGAUCUCAGGACUAGUGACCUCCUUUGGUGGCAAUGAUAUUACAUGGUCCAAUUACGGUCCCGAAUGGAGAAAGUUGCGCAAAUUUUUUGUGGGCAAGAUGAUGAGUAACGCAAGCCUUGAUGCUUGUUAUGCUUUAAGAAAACAUGAGGUUAAAAAUACUAUCAGGGAUUUGUAUAACAACGGCAACAAAAUUGGUAAGCCCAUUGACAUUGGUGAAUUGUCGAUUUCAACAUUGGUAUGUGCUAUGCAGAACAUGCUGUGGGGUGAAGCGCUUGAAUUAAAAGAGAAAGGGACAACUAAUCUUGGGGUUGAGCUAAAAUUUAAGUUUGCAGAACUCAUGGUGCUACUGGGAACACCGAAUAUUUCGGAUAUCUUUCCAAUGCUUUCUUGGCUCGACAUACAAGGUAUAGAGAGGAGAGCAAAGAAGAUUUCACUCUGGUUUGAAAAAAUUAUAAAUUCUACUGUUGAAAAGUAUAGAAGCAAGGACUUUAAUGUUGAAGGUAAAGAAAGAGCAGGGGAAAAUUUUGAAGGAUCAAGGAACAAGAACUUCUUGCAGUUACUAUUGGAGCUUCAAGAAAAUGAAGACGGUUCUUCCUCAAUUAGCAUGAACCAAUUUAAGGCCGUACUCGUGGUAUGUUAAGAAACUAGCCGCAAACAGUUAUACAAGCACAGCUGUAUAUUUUGCAUGAGUGAUAUUUUCAACCUUUUUUUUUUAUAAUUAGAAUUUUAUUGUAACCUUUUGGACAGGAUAUAAUUACGGCUGGAACCGACACCACAACUACGAUGGUGGAAUGGACAAUGGCAGAGUUGAUGCAGCAUCCACAAAUAAUGAAGAAAGUUCAGGAAGAAUUAGCUCAAGUUGUGGGCAUGGACAGUUGUGUUGAAGAAUUUCAUUUGCCUAAAUUGAAAUAUUUAGAUGCUGUGGUGAAAGAAUCGUCUCGUCUGCAUCCUGCAGUGCCUUUAUUACUACCACGCAGAGCAAGCGAGAGUGGCAGCAUUGGUGGCUAUAACAUUCCCAAAGAUACAACUAUUAUGUUGAAUGUUUGGGCAAUCCACAGGGACCCUAAACUUUGGGAUAAUCCCUUAGAAUUUCGACCCGAGAGGUUUCUAGAUGAUGGUAUCGCGAGUAAGUUCGAUUACUCAGGUAACAAUUUUCAGUACUUGCCAUUUGGUUCUGGUAGAAGGAUGUGUGCUGGGAUUCCUCUAGCUGAGAGGAUGCUGAUGUUUGUUUUGGCUUCGUUAUUGCACUCAUUUGAGUGGGAAUUGCCAGCUGGCACAAAGCUAAACUUAUCUGAAAAAUUUGGGAUUGUCAUUAAGAAAAAAGAGCCUUUAGUUGCUAUUCCAACACCAAGACUAUCCAAUUCAGAGCUCUACCAUUAAGACAGAAUGGUUGUGAUGAUUUUGUUAAUUUCCGAAGAUUUGUAUGUUAUGUCAAGUUCAAUCGUAAUAAAAUAUUUCAAAUAAGAGUCCUCCGUUGCUUUUUUUUUUUUUUUCAACCGCAUAAUCUGUCGUCAUGCUUGUAUUUGGGGCUACUUUGGAAUAAUUAUGUUUGAAUUACAAUAUAUAAAUAUUACAUUUUAAAAUUUUAUGAGAUUCUAAAUUUAUACACGUUCAAUAACCCACUUCAUAUAUGUUUAACACAAUUUAUAUCAUACAUUGUAUACCCAUUUGUCAUAAAUUACGCUAUUUUAUAUCUCUAAAUAAUAUUACAUAUUGAUAUUAUAAAAUGUUGUUAACUCACGUGUGUAUAUAUAUAUAGCAAGUCACGUGCAUAUAUUAUUGGUUGUUAUAUGUUUGCUAGUUUGAUAGGAUUUCCUUUCCUUGUGAACUAGGGUAAUUCUUAUGUACAUAUAAAUAUUGAUCAAUAAGAGUGCAGAUGAUGACUGCAGUUUUGCAUCGUAGAAAUUCUUCGUAAAAUAUAUAUGUUUAUCAAAAGGCUAUACCAUUCAAUAUAUAUUGGAAAGAGAACAAAGAAGAUCUUCUUAUGGUUUGAAAAUAUUAUGAAUUCUGCUGUUGAACAGUAUGGAAACAAGGUCUGUUGUUAAAGGUGAAGAAGUCACAGGGAACAAUAUUGAAGGAAGAAAUUUCACGUUUAGUUGCUGAAUUUGCCGCUGUAUUCUAUCGGUAGUAAAAAGAUUAGAGUUUUUAUUUUUCUCUAUUAAUGUUAAGUCAAUUUUCUAUAACAAAUUCGGUUGAGUUUAAUUGUGUUACAAUAUAAAUUGAAUGAUAGUAGAAUUUUCAACGAAUAAUUCAAUAUUUCUAUCUCGAUUGUUGAAGUGCCAUUUAUUUGUUAUACGAUCGAUUUUAAAAUUUAUAAAAUUAUUUGUUACUAAAUUGCAUCAUAUGCUAAAUCACCUGAAACCUAAUUUCAUAACUAACCCUUUAUUUUUAGUUCUCAAGAAAUCUUGUAAGAACAAAAUUCUUUUGUAACAAAACGUUUACAACAAAUUAAUUUGUAACUCAUUCCUGUGCGAGAAUCACUCUCAAUUUCCUUCAAUUGCUGUUUAACAAUCAUCUGCUUAUCAAAAUUCAAGCAUAAUCUUUUUUUUUAAUUUCUUCAUCAUUCUUUUGAAAAAAAAAAUCAGGAUAUGCUGUUAAAUUUUGAAAUAAAUUAUCUCAAAAUAAUUACUAACCAGAAAAAACAAAGGGGUUUAACUAGGUUAUGCAUACCUUUGAAAAUUAUAUGUUGAUCGAUAAGAAUGAUGAUCACGAUUGACGAGUUUAAUUAAAAUAUAUAAGAUUUUAAAAUUAAUCAGGGUUAAAUUGUGAAUUUUAGAAAGAGAGGUUUUGUGAGAAUGUUGAAAGGGUGUUAAUAGUUCCACUCUUUUUAAAAACAACCAUAGUCAUCAUUUUUCCAUGGUUGUUUUUAAAAAGAGUAUUUCUUCUUCCCAUCUCCAUCUUAUUUAGAAAUUUCCCAGAGCCUUUGUUUCCCACCUUUCAUUUUUCUUCUUUCUAAUUUAAUAAUCCACCCUUCUUGUAUUCAAACUAAAAAAUUAAAAUCUGAAAAUUUAAAACCCAAUAUUAUAGUAUUAUAAAAAUAAUUACUCACAUUUUAUCAAACACCUCCAUUCUUCCAAGGCCUUGUUUUAGUAGUAGGCUUUUAUUAUCUCAAUAAAAUUGAAAAAAAAAAUCUCAAUAAUAUUGGAAAAAAACCCUACCCAUAUUUGUAACUUUAAUUUAUUAUUCUCCAUAGACCUACUUUUUAGUUUUGAAUUUUGUUGGAGCCAUAUAUAAACAGAAUAUGUUGAAAUCAGCACCCAAAAAAAAAAAAACUAAUUAUAUAAUUUAUGUUCCCAAGGACAUGGCUGAGUGAUUUUCAAGAAGUUUUGUUUGGCUGGCCACUUAGGUUUAAAUCUUGGUGGAGAUUAAGGGUUAAGAAAUAAAUUUAGACUUUGCACACCCCUUUAACUUUUAAAAAGAAAUGAAAAAAUUAAUUAAUUAAUCUUUAUUUUAUUUAUUAAAUGUCAUAAUCCUAUGCGUAUUUUAUUUGUUAUCUUUCUAUUUAAAAGACGAGGGCAGAUAAAACUGAAAUAAAUUUUUAGCCCUAUCUCCAUAUUUCAAGUUCCAUAGUUAGGUGACCAGCUAAAAAAAAUUAAUUGAAAGCUACUCCAUCAAAUUAAAAAAAUUUAUUUAUUUAAUUUGUGGAGAUGUAGAAAAUCAAACCCCAUACCUUUUCGCAUACACUGAACAUAUUUUAAUACAUGACUAUCAUCCUUUAUCCUAAAUACUACUAUAACUAAUAACAUACAAUUGAAAUAAUUAAUGUUAACACUUGGCUAUAAAUAAAGGUUUUGUGCUUGAAUCUUCACGCAUGACCUUCAUUCCUUUAUUGACUUUGCUAACACAGAUUUUGAGGCAUUAAAACUAAAUAAUAAUUGACUUUGUGGGCCGAGGAUGCCAGCAACAAGGAGACCACAAUUAUCACUUAAGUUACUCUAAUUGCCGUUGUCUUAUAUUCAUAGAAUAUUAGUAAUAAGAUUAUUGCAGAAUUUUUUUAAUAUUAAAAUUAAGUCAAUUUGUUAUAACAAAUUUAGUUGAGUUUAAUCGUGUUACUACAUAAAUUGAAUAAUAAUAGAAUUCUCGACAAAUAUUUCAAUAUUUUUAUCCCAAGCGUUGGAGUGGCAUUUAUUUGUUAUACGAUCGAUUUUAGAACUUAUAAAAUUAUUCGUUACUGAAUUGCACCAUAUGCUGCAUGACCUGAAACUUAAUAAACGGAAUGUAGCGUUGGCACCGUUACUCAACAUACUGUUACGACUUUGUGACAUUAGAAUUAAAAUCUUUUGCACAUUUAAUUUGUUUACUUCAAAAUUAAUAUUUAACAAAAUAUUUUUUUCACAUUAUCAAUGGACAAAACUCCAACGAAAAUAACUACACAAGAAAAAUGUAUGCUAGUAUUGUGUGCCAUAUCAUCUGUAAUUUUGUCAGGAUCGAACACUCUAAUUUUUAAGCAGAACUUUUUAUCAAUGGACAAACACCUCACACAGCUUGUCAGAGGCAUUAUUAUGAUAGAAAACUGUAAUGGUAUAUCUUGAAUUAUUGGUAGAAUAGUUCUUUGGAGCAAUAAAAAUAGAUAAGACAGAUGAGAAAAUUGUCAAUACCCCACCGCAAAAGCAAAAGAAAAAAAGGAAAGGAGACAAAAGAGGAAGAAGAAAAAAAGGAAAGGAGACAAAAGAGGAAGAAGAAAAAGAAAAAAGAACGAAGAAAAAAAUGGUGCCGCGCUGUAUUGGGAAGAAGAAAAAAAUUAAUAAAAUAAUAAUAAAUAAUAAAUAAUAAAUAAUAAAAUAAUAGUGCACAACAAUCAUUUGAUUGCUAUAAAUAAAGGGGCAUUUUCCUCAUUUUAUUCAUCGAAUUCUUCAGUUCCUUUCAAGCGAUUUAAGAGUCUAGUGAUUUGAGAGUUUGGGAGUAUUGUGAUUUUGAGUACUAAGUUAAAAUACUAUAAUACUUGUAACUCAUUUUCACUAGUAAAAUAUUUUUCUUCUGUCUUCGCCCGUAGACGUAGGCUAAAAGCUGAACCACGUAAUUUCUGGUGUCCCUAUGUGAUUAUGUGUCUCAUUAUUUCUCAAUUUUACUUUAGUUACGUGUCUGCUACACCCUUCAAUUUACUAACAAAAAUGGCCAAAAUUAUAUAAGUGACCCAAAUUUUUUUGCUAUUUCCAAGAAAUCCCCAAUCGGAAUAGACCAAACUAGAGGGAGGCAAGUUAGAAAUACGUUUCCUUCAUAAACAAUAACAGCGAUGAGUCGAUGACAUCGAGCCACGUCGGUAUCAAUAUUGAAUUAAAGGUGCAAUUAUUCAGCCAAUGAGCCUUACACAUCAAGAUAAAAGUCAAGAAAAUGAAAAAUUUAUCCUAAUUAAAACACUUUCUGGCUGCAUUUAGCUGUUUCUAUUUGAAGUUAAAAACAACAUUUCUUUCGUUUUGUGGGCAACUCGACUGAGUUCGCUGGCUUCUAGUGCUAGUAUGUGAAAAUAGAAGGCUAAUGAUUUAUUUGUUAUCUUUUGACAAAAAAUGUUAAAGAUAUAAUAGAUUUUCCAUGAUACAAAUGAAAAAUUAUAUCAACAUAACUUCCAAGCUACAGCAGCUAGUGUUUACCAAACACUUUGCUGUAGCUUUUAAGCUACAGCUGCCCAACCUCAAUAGGUUGAUUGAAUUUGUGGGAUAUAGAUUCCACAUAUCUCAUGACCUAUUAAUUAUACAAGUGGUUCUUGAUCAAGAACAACAUUUGCUUCCGACCCAGUAACCCAGCAACUGCUGCACUGGUCGCCACCUAUGGUGCCGACGAUAUUGCAUGGUCCAAUUAUGGCCUUGAAUGGAAAAAGUUGAGCAAAUUAUUUGUGGGCACGAUGAUAAGUAACGCAAGCCUUGAUGCUAGUUAUGGUCGAAGAAAACAAGAGGUUAAGAAUACUAUCAGAGAUAUGCAUAACAACAAAAAGGAAAAAAAAAAAAAAAGGCAUUGGCAAGUCAAUUGAUAUUGCUGAAUUGUCGAUUUCAACUUUGGCAUGUGUAAUUCAGACAUUGCGCGUUGUGGUAUGGCGCUGGCACGCUUGCAUUGCCGAGAGGACAAAUCUUGGGGCUGGGCUAAAAUUUAGGCUUGUAGAACUCAUGGUGCUAAUGGGAACGCCAAAUUUUUUUAACAUAUUUCGGUGCUUUCAUGGUUUAAUUCAAGGUAUAGAAAGGAGUGUUGAGAAUGUCAAAUAAAACGACAUUGAAUGGAAGUUGUCAAAGACAUGAUCCGCACUGAACGGCAAUGACACGGUUGGUAAAGAUUUUUUCAUAAUAUGCGUAUCUAAUUUUUGAAAAAUUGUAACCUCUGCUUCUAUAAAUAUGCUCAAUGUAUAAUGUUUUACUUAAGAAAUGAAAAACUUAAUUCUUUAUGGUAUCAGAGCGAGGCUCGUUGCUCUGUUUGUAACAAAAACAAAGAAAACUAAAUUCUUCCCACAACUAUUUUUCCACCUUUUUUUCUUCCUUAAAAGCAUUCCUAGCAUUACAGAAACCCAUGCCAAUAAAAGAACAAGCCACACAUAUGUAAAAACUUUAGUUUACAAAUCUAUCAACAUCCCCAUAAAUUUUCCCAAAAAGUGAUCUUCAAAAACCAAAAAUACCAUCAAUUUUCGCAUCUUCUAGUAAACAAACUAUAAAAGUUUCGCACUCAAACAGAGCCACACGCGCCUCCACGCGCUUCCCGGAAUCACGGCCAACCACCACGCGCCUCUGUCACCACCAACUCACCCUCAUGCGCUCCAGAUGUUGCAGAAGACGCAAAACGACGUGUCGUUUUCUUCUCUAAAAGUGCAGCAACGUGGAAAUGACUUUUUGUUUUUGCCUUAAAUUGUUUUUCCUCGUUUGAAGCUAUACAACAUUUUUCUUUCUAAACCUGUUUUUUACAAUAAAAAAAGAAAAAAAUGGAGAAAACUCCAACUGAAUCUACUCAUGUUGUCAUUCAAUCUGUUCAACCUGAUGGAGUAUUUAAUGCCGAAAUUAUCCUUACUAAGACAAACUACGAUAUUUGAUCUCAAAUAAUGGAGAUGCAUCUCGCAGAAAGAAAAAAACUCCCAUAUAUUCGUAGCAGCAUAAAUCCAUCUGACAAAUUUUCAAAGAAAUAUGAGAAAUGGUAUAGUGAGAACCAAAAAGUAAAAAGAUGGUUACUCAUAACCAUGUGUCCUGAGAUCAUGAAGCGAUAGUUACAAAUUCCUACAGCCUACGAAAUUUAGAAUGCAUUAUCAAAAGCCUUUUAUAAUGGAAGCGAUGAAAUACAAGUUUUCACUCUAAAUCAGAAGGCGUUCUCUACGAAGCAAAAUGGACAACCACUCUCUAAAUUCUACGGAGAAUUGAUCAAAAUGUUUCAAGAACUUAAUCACCGAGAUAAAGUGGUCAUGAAGGAUCCAGAAGAUGUUAUAAUAUAUAGGAAGUUUGUUGGAAGAUUGAGAGUGCACAUUUUUCUUGCUGGACUAGAUGAAGAAUUUGACCAAGUUUGUGGAGAAAUUCUACGAAAAGAUACUAUCCUAGACUUAAAAGAAUGUUAUUCUCUAAUCCGAAAAGAAGAUGUACGGCAAAGCAAACUAACAAGAAGGUGGACGACUCAGAAACGUCUGCUAUGAUACCACAAGAGAACAAUGUUUUGAAAUUGUUCGAUAUCCUGACUGGUGGGAUACUCGAAGUAAUAACACAAAGCAGAGAUAAAAAACUGCAGUAGCUGAAUCCACAUCCACUACAGAUCUUAGAAAAGAAUCUUCAGCGCAAAUUGCAACCUCUGUCAAUUCAGGUAAGGUCAUUAAAACUCUUACAUUUGUUAUUAAUAGUAUAUGGAUAAUUGAUUAUGGUGCAACUGAUCAUAUGACUUUUGAUUCUUGACAAGUUUCUUAAUUGAAACCAUCUUCACAUAAACAUGUUUCUACUGUAAAUAGAACCACAACCUCAGUUAUUGGGGAAGGAUCUUUACAACUCACAAUUAAAUCAAAUUUAGACUUUGUGUUAAUUGUUCCAUCUUUAAAUUAUAAUCUUUUAUAUGUGUCUCAAAUAACCUCUUACUUAUCAUGUGUUGUAAUGUUUUGGCCCGAUCAUUGCAUGUUUAAGGACAUCCAAAUGAAGGAAACGAUUGGUUAUGAUAUUAAAUAAGGCAACUUGUAUUACCUGGAGAUGACAUCAACAAACACUGAAAAGCUAAGCCCCGCAUUAGUAGCAGACAAUUCCAUGAAAAAAAAGGAAAUAAGAAAUUUGGUUAUGGCAUAGACGAUUAGGGCAUGUGUCAUUUGAUUUCUUAAAAAAAUUGUUUCCUAGUUUGUUUCUGAAAUUUGAUAUUUGUAACUUUAAAUAUGAUGUUUGUGAACUUUCAAAUAGCCAUCGAACUACUUUUCCAUUGUCCUUAAAUAAGAAUCCAAUUCCUUUAAUGGUAGUACAUUCUGAUGUAUAGAGACCAUCUAAAGUUUCUACCAUUGGAAGAGCUCGUUGGUUUGUUACAUUUAUUGAUGAUUGUAGCAGAAUGACAUGGAUUUUUUUAUGAAAUUAAAAUCAUAUGAUGGUGACAACUCUAUUUCAGACACAAAUUUGAGUUCUACAUACUGAUAAUGGAGGCGAGUAUAUGAGCACAACAAUUCAACAGUUUUUGAAAUCACAAUGAACUCACCACCAAACCACUUGUGUGGGGACACUCCAACAAAAUGGCGUUGCUAAACAAAAAAAUAGACAUUUACUAGAAGUUGUUCAAGCAUCACUAAUUUAGGCCCGCAUGCCACUAUUUUAUUGGGGAGAAGCAUUGGCAUCCGUAGCAUACUUGAUCAAUCGGACACCUUCAAUCUUCCUUGGAUUCCAAACUUAUUUUCUAGUUCUAAAUGAAGAAUUAUGUCAUCAAAUGUGUCGAAUUUACCCCCACAUAUGUUUGGUUGUGUUGCCUUCGUUCAUUUGCCAUGACAAGAUAAAUUAUCUCCUCGAGCACUACGUUGUGUGUUUGUAGGGUAUGCCUUACAUCAAAAGGGGUACCGAUGCUAUCAUCCUCUAUUAAGAAAAAAUAUACAUCACCAUGGACAUAAUCUUUCAUGAAGAUAUCAUGUAGUACCCAUCGGAGCUUGAAUUUCAGAGGGAGUAUAAUGAAGAGGAAAUUCAUACUCUUACAUAUCUUUCACCUGAAGAAGAUCAAUCCUCCAUUGAGGUAGUAAACGUUCAAGAUACUGGAAAAGAAAACGACAAUGAUUCUCAGGCUGAGACAAGUGAAGACACAUUUAGGGAGCAAAAUAACUCAGACAUAACCACAAUCGAGAACGAGUCCAUGAAGAGCCACAUGAAGAAAUAUCUAACCAAUCAUCUGCAGAGGAUGAUCCUACCACAAAUCCCAGUCUAAUCAGAAGAAUACUUCCCCAGCAUCAAAAUAGAGGUAUCUCUAAACCCACAUAUAAGACUGACCUCUCUAGUAGAGUCAAAUACCCUAUGAGUCAUUUUGUAUCUAACCAUGGCUUAUCAAAAUCAAAUCAGUCAUUUGUGAAUCAAUUAUCUACUGUGUCUAUUCCUAACAGUGUGCAAUAAGCCUUAAAAUAUCGAAAGUGGAAAGGGCUAUGAAUGACGAAAUGAGAUCUCUUUAAAAAAAAUCAAACAUGGGAACUAAUUGAUCUUCCACCAGGAAAGAAACCAGUGGGUUGCCGAUGGAACUAGUUGAUCAUCCACCUCCAUUCUGACAAGCAAUGUUUAUCAGCAAUAACAAAUGACUGAAGCAUUUUAAUGAGGUUAGUAACGAAAAAGAGUUUAAUUAGAGAAUAUUAUAAGAGAAAUUCUAAUUUUUGAUUUUUAAUAAAUUAAAAUAUCUUAAAAUAUUAUUAGUUGGUGGUGGUUUCAUGUCAGAUUAAGACGUGACACCUUACUAAUGAGGUCGAGACAAUUAGCUUAAAUUAUUUCAAUGCAUUUGAAAUUUCCACUAAUGACUAUAAUUCUUUGUCCUAAUUACUAUGAUAAUUAAUAACAUACAAUUGAAAUAGUUAAUAUUAGCACUUGGCAAUAAAUAAUUAAAUUUCAUUAACACUAAAUAAUAAUUGAAUAUGGCUUUGUACAUCGAUGACGCCAGCAACAAGGGGACCGCGAUUAUCACUCUUUAAGUUGCUUUUAAAAUUGAUUUUAGUAGUGAUAUGAUUAUUGUAGUGUUUUUAUUUUUUAUAUUAAAAUUAAGUGAUUUGUUAUAAUAAACUUAGUUGAGUUUAAUGGUAUUACUACAUAAAUUGAAUAGUUAUCAAAUAUUUUAAUAUUUUUAUGGCAAGCGUUGACGUGGCAUUUAUUUGUUGUAUGAUGGAUUUUAAAAUUUAUAAAAUUAUUUGUUAUUAAAUUACCCCCAGAUGCUACAUCACCUGAAACUUAAUAAAGGUAUGAAGACAUGUGUGUGUGGACUGAAAUGAAGAAUAUGGAAAAGUUGAGAGCUGUUGUGCAGAUUGAGUUCAGUUGAUGGGGUCUAUUAGAUAUUGUCUGCUGACGUGGCAUGAAUUCGUUAUAAUCUGUUAUAACGAGUUCAGUAUAUCAGUAUACAAUAGAGCUGAUGGAUGGUGCCUGUUUUAGAGUCUUUUUUAUAUUCAUUUGUUCAUCAUUUUGCGCAAGAUCUGUUCCAUUGUGAUAUGUGUAAAGUCUUAUGUAAACCCACUUAUGAUUGGAUUAGUUCUUGAUUAAUAACAACGAGUAAAUUUUCCUUCAAGUGUGCUGGUCUGUGCCCCUGUUUUUUGUUCUGAUAUUGUUUCUUUGUUCUGGCAUUUCAUUUCGAUUGUGUUCUUGGUGUUUCUACUCAUCAAGAUUUAUGAGUCUUGUUGAGAUUAAAGACUUAAUAGUCUUAACAAGUGGUAUCAGAGCCUGGUGAAUCUCAGCCAUGUCUCUUUCGAAGCAUGAAAUUGAAAAAUUCACCAUUGGUGGUGAUUUCUCGCUUUCGAAAUUAAAAAUGAGGGCUCUCCUUGUGCAUUAGAGGCUUGAAUUUGCUCUGGAAAAAGAUAAUCUAGAGGCUGCUACAAGUUAUGUGACUGAUGAUAAGAAGAGACAAAUCCAAAACCGAGCUCGUAGCACUCUAGUUUUGAGUCUUGGUGACUCAAUCUUGAGAAAGAUUUCUGAAGAGAAGACAACCUUAGGGAUUUGGAACAAGGUAGAAGCUUUGUGUACAAAGAAGUCGCUAGCUCACAGACUAUUCUUGAAGAAAAAGUUAUACACAUUCUCGAUGAGAGAAGGAGUCACAAUUCAAGAUCACAUUGAUACCUUCAACAAGAUCAUUCUUGAUCUUGAAGGGGUGGAAAAUGUGACAAUAAGUGAUGAAGAUAAAGCCUUCUUCUUGUUGAGUUCCUUACCAAAGUCUUAUGAAGGCUUUGUAGAUACAAUGCUUUAUGGCAGAACAACAUUGACUCUUGAAGAUGUUAAAGCAUCUCUAAGUUCAAAAGAGAUUCAGAAGAACAAUGAGAUUGAAACAAAUAAUGGUGAUGGGCUGAUUGCCAGAUCAGAAAAGAAGAAAGAUCAGAAGAAUAAAAAUCAGGGAAAAUGACAUGGAAAGAAUUAAGAAAAUGCAGACAAGAAGAAAAAGAAGAGAAAAUGCUUCUACUGCCGGAAGGAAGGGCAUUACAUCAGGGAUUGUCUUAAAAAGAAAAAAAAAGAAAGUCAAGAGAAGUCAGGGGAUGCAGCUGUAGCCUCUGAUGAUGCCUCUGAUGGAUAUCACAUUGCUGAUUUACUUGUGGCCUCAAAUAGCAAUACUAAAGGUCAGUGGGUCAUAGACUCUGAGUGCUCUUUUCACUUGUGGCCUGAUAAAACCAUAUUUUACAAAUAUGAAGUUGUUGAUGGUGGUAGAGUCUUAAUGGGAAAUAAUAAUGUGUGUAAUCUUGUUGGUAUUGGUUCUGUGAAGAUCAAGAUGUUUGAUGGAACUGUAAGAGCUCUACAUGAGGUGAGGCAUGCUCCUAGGCUAAAGAGAAAUCUAAUCUCUUUAGGCAUGCUAGACAGCUUAGGGUAUUUCUUUAAAUCAGAAAGUGGUGGUUUAGAGAUAAGAAAGGGGACUGAGAUAGUGAUGAAGGGGGUUAAAGAAAAUGGCUUAUAUGUAUUGUAAGGCUCAUCAGUGCUUCUUCAAAAGGGAAUUUCUGCUCUUUUUGAGGAAGAUAUAACCAAGUUAUGACAUCUUAGACUUGGUCAUAUGAGUGUCAAAGGGAUGUAAGAGCUCAGCAAACAAGGGCUACUUGGUGGGGAUAGAAUCCAGCAACUGGAAUUAUGUGAAAAUUGCAUUUUUGGCAAAGCUCACAGGUCCAAGUUUCACAAGGGGGAGCAUAUGUCUAAGCAAGUUUUGGACUAUGCACAUGCUGACCUUUGGGGGCCUGCUCAAGUCCCAUCCUUGAGUGGUGGCAGGUAUUUCAUAUCACUAAUUGAUGAUUACUCAAGGAAGAUGUGGGUCUACAUACUCAAGACCAAAGAUCAAGCCUAGGAAAAAAUUCAAGGUAUAGAAAUCUUUGGUAGAAAAUCAAUUUGGAUUCAAGCUCAAAUGCUUGAGAACUGAUAAUGGUUUGGAAUUUUGUAGCAAAGAAUUUGAGGAAUAUUACAAAAAAACAUGGCAUAAAAAGGCACAAAACAGUCAGGUUCACCCCCCAGCAGAAUGGCUUGGCUGAAAGGAUGAACAUGACCUUGGUAGAUAAGACCAGAUGUAUGUUGAUAAAUUCAAAGCUUCCAAGAAGCUUUUGGGCAGAAGCUGUCAAUACAACAAGUUGUUUGGUUAACAGAAGCCCAUAUUCUGCAAUUGGCUUCAAAACACCAGAAGAAUUGUGGAAGGAAAAACCUGUAAAUUACCAAAAUCUCAGUGUUUUUGGAUGCCCUGCUUAUCUCCACAUCAAUCAAGGCAAGCUGGAAGCUAGGGCCUUGAAAGGAGUCUUUGUUGGAUAUCCUGAUGGGGUUAAGGGAUACAUAAUCUGGUGUAGAGAGUAAGGGAAGUGUAUAGUCAGCAGGGAUGUUGUGUUUCAUGAAUUUGGAUUGCUAAAAGAAAAUGCAGAGAAUGAUACUAGACUACAAAAUGAUUCAAUAAUUAUCAAACAAUCUGGAACUUCCAAGGUUAAGGUGGAGCUGUUUGGAAAUAAAGACAGUAGAAAAGAGGUAGCUGAUUAUGAAGAGAGGACCACAGCUAAAGUUGAGGAACAUGAGUCAUCAGAGUUGCCACAAGCUGACUUGCAGACUUAUCAGUUAGCAAGAGAUAGAGUUAGAAGAGAAGUCAAAGCACUAGUGAGGUAUGGCUAUGCUGACUUAAUUACUUAUGCAUUGUUGUGUGCUGAUGAUGUGGCAAUUGAAGAGCCUGCUAACUUCUCUGAAGUUAUUGAAAGUGUGCAUUGUGAUAAGUGGCUUGAGGCAAUGCAAGAUGAAAUGGGAUCCCUUCAAAGAAAUCAGACCUGGACACUUGUUCCAAAUCUAGGUAAUAAAAAGUUGAUCAGUUGUAAGUGGAUCUUCAAGAAGAAUGAAGGAAUUCCAGAUGUUGAACCUCCCAAAUAUAAAGCAAGGCUAGUGGCUAGGGGGUUUACACAGAGAAAGAGUGUAGAUUUCAAUGAAAAAUUUUCCCCUGUUCUUAAGCACAUUUCAAUAAGAAUUUUAUUAGUCAUGGUAGCCUUACUUGACUUGGAGCUUGAGCAAAUGGAUGUAAAAACAGCAUUCCUUCAUGGUAAUCUUGAAGAACAGAUAUUGAUGGCACAACCUAAAUGUUUUGAGUGCAAAGGAAAUGAGGAUUAUGUUUGUUUGCUGCAUAAGUCCUUGUAUGGACUCAAGCAAUCCCCACGACAGUGGUACAUAAGAUUUGAUGAUUUUAUGGUCUCAAAAGGCUAUCACAUAAGCAAAUAUGACAGUUGUGUUUACUUUGGUGGAUCAUAUCAAGGUGGAGUUGCUUAUUUGCUUCUGUAUGUUGAAGAUAUGUUAAUUGCAAGAAAAUAUAAGUUGGAGAUAGAGAGGUUGAAGAAAUGAAGGAUCUCGGCAAUGCCAAAAGAAUCCUUGGGAUGAACAUUACAAGGGGCAGAUCUGCUGACACUUUGUUCUUGAGUCAUGAGAAAUAUAUCAAGAAGGUUCUGGAGAGGUUUGAGAUGCAAGACUAUAAACCUGUCCAAACACCACUUGGUCCCCAAUUCAAGUUGACAGCAGCUCAAUCAUCAGAAGAUGAGUCUCAGGUGAGUGAAUUCCCAUAUGCACAGGUUGUAGGGAGCCUGAUGUAUGUAAUGGUAUGCACCAGGUCAGAUAUAGCUUAUGCAGUAAGUGUUGUCAGCAAAUUUCUCAGUUGUCUAGGCAAGGUUCACUGGAAUGUUGUAAAAUGGAUAAUGAGAUAUCUUAAGGGCUCUUUUACUUGUGGUUUGCUGUAUGGGAAGACUAAGAGUGACAUAAGUGAAGUCCUGGGGUUUGUAGACUCUGACUUUGCUGGAGAUCUUGAUAGAAUGAAGUCAACCUCAGGGUAUAUGUUUGUGUUAAACAGUUGCCUGAUUAGCUGGAAGUCAUCACUUCAGUCUGUGGUUGCUUUAUCCUCAACUGAAGCUGAGUUUGUUGCAACUACAGAGGCAGUAAAAGAGGCCAUGUGGCUAAGAGGUUUGCUUAAUGAGUUAUGGUUAAAUCAGAAAAUUGUUCAGGUUUUCUGUGAUAACCAAAGUGUCAUACACCUGGUAAAGAAUCAGAUGUAUCAUGAAAGAACCAAGCACAUUGAUGUGAAGCUCCAGUUUAUCAGAGAUGAGGUUGGAAAAGGAACUAUAAUUGUGUCCAAGAUCUAUACCAGUGUGAAUCCAACUGAUGUUAUUACAAAAGCACUUCCCACUGCAAAAUUUGAAUUCUAUGUGAAUCUAAUGGGCAUCUCGCCCAAACCUAACUAAAUUCAAUAGUGAAUUGUAGUUGAAUGAAGGUUUUUUAGGUGCUGUGUUAUUGAAAGGAUCAACUGAAUCAACUGCAAGGUGGAGAAUGUGAAGAUGUGUGUGUGGACUGAAAUGAAGAAUAUGAAAAAGUUGAGAGCUGUUGUGCAGAUUGACUUCAGUUGAUGGGGUCUAUUAGAUAUUGUCUGCUGACGUGGUAUGAAUUCGUUAUAAUCUGUUAUAACGAGUUCAAUAUAUCAGUAUAUAAUGGAGCUGAUGGAUGGUGCCUGUUUUAGAGUCUUUUUCGUAUUCAUUUGUUCAUCAUUUUGCACAAGAUUUGUUCCAUUGUGAUCUGUGUAAAGUCUUCUGUAAAUCCACUCAUGAUUGGAUUAGUUCUUGAUCAAUAACGAGUAAAUUUUCCUUCAAGUGUGCUGGUCUGUGCCCCUGUUUUUGGUUCUAAUAUUGUUUCUUUGUUUUGGCAUUUCAUUUCGAUUGUGUGCUUGGUGUUUCUACUCAUCAAGAUUUGUGAGUCUUGUUGAGAUUAAAGGCUUAAUAGUCUUAACAAAAGGGAAUGUAGCAUUGCCAUUAAUCAACAUUCACUCUUAUGACUUUAUGACAUUAGAAUUAAAAUCUUUCGUACAUUUAAUUUAUUUGCUUCCAAAUUAAUCUUUAAUAAAUAUUUUUUCACAUUAUCAUCAAUGGACAAAACUCCAACGAAAAUAACUACACGAGAACAAUUUAUGCUAGUAUUAAAUGCCACGAUAUCUAUAACUUUGUCUGGAUCGAUCAUUCUAAUUUUUUCGCAGAACUUUUUGUCAAUGGACAAACACCUCACAGAGCUUGUCAGCCGCAUUAUUACGAUGUAAAAUUGUACCGGAAUAUCUUGAAUUAUUAGUAGAAUAAUGAAGACUAUUUGGGGCAAUAAAAACAAAUAACGCAGAUAAAAAAAUGGCUAAAAUUAUGUAAGUGAGCCCCAAAGUUUUUGCUAUUUCCAGGAAAUCCCAAAUUUGAAUGGACUAGAGGGAGGCACGUAAGAAAUACAUUUUCUUCCUAGACAAUGACAGCUAUGACAUCAAGCCACGGUGGCGUCAGUAUUGAAAUUAAGGUGUAAUUAUUCAGCCAAUGAGCCUUACACAUCAAGAUAAAAGUCAAGAUAAUGAAAAUUUGGCUGUUUCCAUUUGAAGUUAAAAGCAACGUUUCUUUCGUUUUGUGGGCGACUCGACUGAGCACGCCCCAAUAGCUAUAUUUAGGGCGUCAAUUUGAUAUUUGAAUGGACAGGCAAGUAAGAAAUACAUUUCCUUCAUAGACAAUGACAACGAGGACAUCAAGCCACAUCAUUAUAGUUUGUAGCCCAUCUACAUUUAAACGAUUAAUAAACAAGCUUAGGUGUGCCACUGCUAUUAUUAAUUAUCCCCUGAUCAUUAUAGUUUCUGAAACAGUAAAACUAAACGAAAUUGAAUACAUCAACGAGACCGCAAUUAUCACUUGUUUAGUUGCGGUAUUUAACUUAAUUUUAAUAUAAUAUAUUUGUUAGUUAAACUUUUAAUAAUCAAAUAAUUUUGAUUUAAAAAUAAAAUUAUAGAAAUUAUUAAUUAUUAAUUAUUAAAAAUUCACAAUUAAGGGAACGUUCAUCAAACACACAUAGCUAUUGUUUUCUCUAUAUAUUGCAGUGUGUACGAUAUUGAGGGUUGAAGCCCCAAGCAUGCUCUAAAAUCCAGAUAAUAAUUAGAUCCGGGCCAAAUAUUCAUCAUUGUGUCAGCUGAUCAGUCGGUGGACAUCUCUAUUGAAAAUAUCUCUGACAUUUCACUCGACAAACUUAUUAAUAUAAAAAAUCUGUGGUUUUGCCGUCUGAAUAAUGUAGAAAAAUUUGUCUAUGCAUUAAUCUAGAUGUUUGAGGUGAUUUAUACAUCUGUGGUAAAGAUUUAUAGGUUGACUUAGACGUCUGUGGUAUAGAUUUUAUGUAUUUCAUUACAAAAUGCUGGCCGUUAGAACCCUUUCUACAUCUAUUUAUAAGAUUAACGGGUGCCAGCUAUGCCAUUACAAAUUAUCCCCUCAUCAGAUAUUUCGUUAAAAUUCAUUCUGAAACACUAAAACUAAAUAAUCGAAUAUGGCUUUGCGGGUCGAUGAUGCCAGCAGCAAUGAGACUGCAAUUAUCACUUGUUUAGUUUCUGUGCUGGCCGUGGUUUACUUCGCAUGGAAUGUGAAAAAAUCAAGGAAAGCAAAUGCUACACUGCCACCAGGACCUCGCGGCUUGCCUGUAUUCGGAUACCUCCCAUUUCUUGGAACUACUGACUUGCACAAGAAAUUCACGGAAUUAUCCGGAGUUUAUGGUCCGAUCUUCAAGCUUUGGCUUGGAAAUAAAUUAUGUGUAGUGGUGAGCUCACCUUCCCUAAUUAGACAAGUGGUUCGUGAUCAAGAUACAACAUUCGCGAACCGUGACCCACCGAAGGCUGCACUAGUGGUCUCCUAUGGUGGCAAUGAUAUUGCAUGGUCCAAUUACGGUCCCGAAUGGAGAAAGUUGCGCAAAUUUUUUGUGGGCAAGAUGAUGAAUAACGCAAGCCUUGAUGCUUGUUAUGCUCUAAGAAGACAAGAGGUUAAAAAUACUAUCAGGGAUUUGUAUAACAACGACAACAAAAUUGGCAAGCCCAUUGACAUUGGUGAAUUGUCGUUUUCAACAUUGGUAUGUGCUAUACAGAACAUGCUGUGGGGUGAAGCGCUUGAAUUAAAAGAGAAAGGGACCACUAAUCUUAGGGCUGGGCUAAAAUUUAAGCUGGCAGAACUCAUGGUGCUUGCGGGAACACCGAAUAUUUCGGAUGUCUUUCCAAUGCUUUCAUGGCUUGACAUACAAGGUAUAGAGAGGAGAGCAAAGAAGAUUUCACUCUGGCUUGAUAAUGUUAUAAAUUCUACUGUUGAACAGCAUAGAAACAAGGAGUUAACUGUUGAAGGUGAAGAAAGAGCGGGGAAAAAUUUUGAAGGAUCAAGGAACAAGAACUUCUUGCAGUUACUAUUGGAGCUUCAAGAAAAUGAUGACAGUGCUUCCUCAAUUAGCAUGAACCAAUUCAAGGCCGUACUCGCGGUAUGUUAAGCAACUAGCCACGAACAGUUAUACAAGCACAAUUGUAUAUUUGCAUGAGUGAUAUUUUCAACCUUUUUUUUUAAUUAGAAUUUUAUUGUCACCUUUUGGACAGGAUAUAAUUACGGCUGGAACCGACACCACAACUACGAUGGUGGAAUGGACAAUGGCAGAGUUGAUGCAGCAUCCACAAGUAAUGAAGAAAGUUCAGGAAGAAUUAGCUCAAGUUGUGGGCAUGGACAGUUGUGUUGAAGAAUUUCACCUGUCUAGAUUAAUGUAUUUAGAUGCUGUGGUGAAGGAAACAUUUCGUCUGCAUCCUGCAGUGCCUUUAUUACUACCACGUAGGGCAAGCGAGAGUGGCAACAUUGGUGGCUAUACCAUUCCCAAAGAUACAACUCUUAUGUUGAAUGUUUGGGCUAUCCACAGGGACCCUCACCUUUGGGAUAAUCCCUUAGAAUUUCGACCCGAGAGGUUUCUGAAUGUUGGUAUCGAGAGUAAGUUCGAUUACUCAGGUAACAAUUUUCAGUACUUGCCAUUUGGUUCUGGUAGAAGGAUGUGUGCUGGGAUUCCUCUAGCUGAGAGGAUGCUGAUGUUUGUUUUGGCUUCGUUAUUGCACUCAUUCGAGUGGGAAUUGCCAACUGGCACAAAGCUAAACUUAUCAGAAAAAUUUGGGAUUGUCAUUAAGAAAAAAGAGCCUUUGGUUGCUAUUCCAACACCAAGACUAUCCAAUUCAGAGCUCUACCAUUAAGACCAAAUGGUUGUGAUGAUUUUGUUAAUUUCCGAAGAUUUGUAUGUUAUUUCAAGUUCAAUCGUAGUAAAAUAUUUCAAAUAAGAGUCCUCCGUUGCUUUUUUUUUUUUUUUUCAACGGCAUAAUCUGUGGUCAUGCUUGUAUUUGGAGCCACUUUAGAAAAAUUAUGUUUGAAUUACAAUUUAUAAAUAUUACAUUUUAAAAUAUUAUGAGGCUAAAUUUAUACACGUUCAAUAACCCGCUUCAUAUAUAUUUAACACAAUUUAUAUCAUACAUUGUACACCCAUUUAUCAUAAAUUACACUAUUUUGUAUCUCUAAAUAAUAUUACGUAUUGAUAUUAUAAAAUAUAUAUGGAAAAGAGAACAAAGAAGAUUUCUUAUGGUUUGAAAAUAUUAUGAAUUCUGCUGUUGAACAGUAUGGAAACAAGGUCUCUGUUGUUAAAGGUGAAGAAGCAACAGGGAACAAUAUUGAAGGAAGAAAUUUCACAUGUUUAGUUGCUGAAUUUGCCGCUGUAUUCUAUCGGUAGUAAAAAAAUUAGAGUUUUUAUUUUUCUCUAUUAAUGUUAAGUCAAUUUUCUAUAACAAAUUCGGUUGAGUUUAAUUGUGUUACAAUAUAAAUUGAAUGAUAAUAGAAUUUUCAACGAAUAUUUCAAUAUUUCUAUCUCGAUUGUUGAAGUGCCAUUUAUUUGUUAUGCGAUCGAUUUUAAAAUUUAUAAAAAUUAUUUGUUACUAAAUUGCAUCAUAUGCUAAAAUCACCUGAAACCUAAUUCCAUAACUAACCCUUUAUUUUUAGUUCUCAAGAAAUCUUGUAAGAACAAAAUUCUUUUAUAACAAAACUUUUACAACACAUUAAUUUGUAACUCAUUCCUGUGCGAGAAUCACUCUCAAAUUCCUUCAAUUGCUGUUGAACAAUCAUCUGCUUAUCAAAAUUCAAGCAUAAUCUUUUCUUUUUUUUAAUUUCUUCAUCAUUCUUUUGAAAAAAAAAAAUCAGGAUAUGCUGUUAAAAUUUUGAAAUAAAUUAUCUCAAAAUAAUUACUAACCAGAAAAAACAAAGGGGUUUAACUAGGUUAUGCAUACCUUUGAAAAUUAUAUGUUGAUCGAUAAGAAUGAUGAUCACGAUUGAGGAGUUUAAUUAAAAUAUAUAAGAUUUUAAAAUUAAUCAGGGUUAAAUUGUGAAUUUUAGAAAGAGAGGUUUUGUGAGAAUGCUGAAAGGGUGUUAAUAGUUCCACUCUUUUUAAAAGCAACCAUAGUCAUCAUUUUUCCCGAUUUCUUCUUCCCAUCUCCAUCUUAUUUAGAAAUUUCCCAGAGCCUUUGUUUCCCACCUUUCAUUGUUCUUCUUUCUAAUUUAAUACUAUAGGAUUACAAAAAUAAUUACUCACAUUUUAUCAAACACCUCCAUUCUACCAAGGCCUUGUUUUAGUAGUAGGCUUUUAUUAUCUCAAUAAAAUUGAAAAAACAAAUCUCAAUAAUAUUGGAAAAAAAAAACCUACCCAUAUUUGUAACUUUAAUUUAUUAUUCUCCAUAGACCUACUUUUUAGCUUUGAAUUUUGUUGGAGCCAUAUAUAAACAGAAUAUGUUGAAUCAGCACCAAAAAAAAAAAAAAAAAACUAAUUAUAUAAUUUCUGUUCCCAAGGACAUGACUGAUUGAUUUUCAAGAAGUUUUGUUUGGCUGGCUACUUAGGUUUAAAUCUUGGUGGAGAUUAGGGGUUAAGAAAUAAAUUUGGACUUUGCACACCCCUUUAACUUUUAAAAAGAAAUGAAAAAAACUAAUUAAUUAAUCUUUAUUUUAUUUAUUAAAUAUCAUAAUCCUAUGCGUAUUUUAUUUGUUAUCUUUCUAUUUAAAAGACAGGAGGGCAGAUAAAACUGAAAUAAAUUUUUAGCCCUAUCUCCAUCUUUCAAGUUCCAUAGUUAGGUGACCAGGUAAAGAAAAUUAAUUGAAAGCUACUCCAUCAAAUUAAAAAAUUUUAUUUAUUUAAUUUGUGGAGAUGUAGAAAAUCAAACCCCAUGCCUUUUCGCGUGGAAAAGUGUCAACCUGGUCUAGCUAUGUUGCAAAAGUGAACAUAUUUUAAUACAUGACUAUCAUCCUUUAUCCUAAAUACUACUAUAACUAAUAACAUACAAUUGAAAUAAUUAAUGUUAACACUUGGCUAUAAAUAAAGGUUUUGUGCUUGAAUCUUCACGCAUGACCUUCAUUCCUUUAUUUACUUUGCUAACACAGAUUUUGAGGCAUUAAAACUAAAUAAUAAUUGACUUUGUGGGCCGAGGAUGCCAGCAACAAGGAGACCACAAUUAUCACUUGUUAAGUUACUCUAAUUGCCGUUGUCUUAUAUUCAUAGAAUAUUAGUAAUAAGAUUAUUGUAGAAUUUUUUUAUAUUAAAAUUAAGUCAAUUUGUUAUAACAAAUUUAGUUGAGUUUAAUCGUGUUACCACAUAAAUUGAAUAAUAAUAAAAUUCUCGACAAAUAUUUCAAUAUUUUUAUCCCAAGCGUUGGAGUGGCAUUUAUUUGUUAUACGAUCAAUUUUAGAAUUUAUAAAAUUAUUCGUUACUGAAUUGCACCAUAUGCUGCAUGACCUGAAACUUAAUAAACGGAACGUAGCGUUGGCACCGUUACUCAACAUACUGUUACGACUUUGUGACAUUAGAAUUAAAAUCUUUUGCACAUUUAAUUUGUUUACUUCCAAAUUAAUAUUUAACAAAAUAUUUUUUCACAUUAUCAAUGGACAAAACUCCAACGAAAAUAACUACACAAGAAAAAUGUAUGCUAGUAUUGUGUGCCAUAUCAUCUGUAAUUUUGUCAGGAUCGAUCAUUCUAAUUUUUAAGCAGAACUUUUUAUCAAUGGACAAACACCUCACACAGCUUGUCAGAGGCAUUAUUAUGAUGGAAAACUGUAAUGGUAUAUCUUGAAUUAUUGGUAGAAUAGUUCUUUGGAGCAAUAAAAACAGAUAAGACAGAUGAGAAAAUUGUCAAUACCCCACCGCAAAAGCAAAAGAAAAAAAGGAAAGGAGACAAAAGAGGAAGAAGAAAAAGAAAAAAGAACGAAGAAAAAAAUGGUGCCGCGCGGUAUAGGCAAGAAGAAAAAAUAAUAAUAAAAUAAUAAAAUAAUAGUGCACAACAGUCAUUUGAUUGCUAUAAAUAAAGGGGCAUUUCCCUCAUUUUAUUCAUCGAAUUCUUCAGUUCCUAAGCGAUUUAAGAGUCUAGUGAUUUGAGAGUUUGGGUAUAGUAUAGUUUUGAGUAGUGAGUUAAAAUAUUACAAUACUUAUAACUUAUUUUUACUAAUAAAAUAUUUUUCUUCUAUCUUCACCCGUGGACGUAGGGUCAAAGCCGAAUCACAUAAUUUUUAGUAUCCCUAUGUGAUUAUGUAUCUCAUUAUUUUUCAAUUUUACUUUAGUUACGUGUCUGCUACAUCCUUCAAUUUACUAACAAAAAUGGCCAAAAUUAUAUAAGUGACCCAAAUUUUUUUGCUAUUUCCAAGAAAUCUCCAAUCUGAAUGGGCCAGACCAGAGGGAGGCAAGUUAGAAAUACGUUUCCUUCAUAGACAAUAACAGCGAUGAGUCGAUGACAUCGAGCCACGUCGGUAUCAAUAUUGAAUUAAAGGUGCAAUUAUUCAGCCAAUGAGCCUUACACAUCAAGAUAAAAGUCAAGAAAAUGAAUAUUUAUCCUAAUUAAAACACUUUCUGGCUGCAUUUAGUUGUUUCCAUUUGAAGUUAAAAGCAACGUUUCUUUCGUUUUGUGGGCAACUCGACUCAGUUAGCUGGCUUCUAGUGCUAGUAAGUGAAAAUAGAAGGCUAAUGAUUUAUUUGUUAUCUUUUGAUAAAAUUAUUAAAGAUAUAAUAGAUUUUUCAUGAUACAAAUAAAAAAUCACAUCAACAUAGCUUCCAAAGUACAACAGCUAAUGUUUACCAAACACUUUGUUGUAGCUUUUAAGCUACAGCUGCCCAACUUUAAUUUCAAAUGCACCCUUAAUAGGUUGAUUGAAUUUGUGGGAUAUAGAUUCCACAUAUCGUAUGACCUAGUAACUAUACAAGUGGUUCGUGAUCAAGACACAACAUUUGCUUCCGGCCCGGUGACCCAGCAAUCGCUGCAUUGGUCGCCACCUAUGGUGCCAACGAUAUUGCAUGGUCCAAUUGUGGCCUUGAAUGGAAAAAGUUGAGCAAAUUAUUUGUGGACACGAUGAUAAGUAACGCAAGCCUUGAUGCUAGUUAUGGUCCAAGAAAACAAGAGAUAUGCAUAACAACAAAAAGGAAAAAAAAAAAAAAAAAAAAAAAGGCAUUUGCAAGCCCAUUGAUAUUGGUGAAUUGUCGAUUUCAACUUUGGCAUGUGUAAUCCAGAGCCUGCGCGCUGUGGUGUGGCGCUGGCACGCUUGCAUUGACGAGGGGACAAGUCUUGGGGCUGAGCUAACAUUUAAGCUCGCAGAACUCAUGGUGCUAAUGGGAACACCAAAUAUUUUUUGACAUAUUUUGGUGCUUUCAUGGUUUAAUUCAAGGUAUAGAAAGGAGUGUUGAGAAUGUCAAAUAAAACGGUAUUGAAUGGAAGUUGUUAAAGACACGAUCCGCACCGAACGACAACAGCACGGUUGCUAAAAAUCCUUCCGUAAUAGGCAUAUCUAAUUUUUGAAAAAGUGUAACCUCUACAUUUAUAAAUAUACUCAAUGUAUAAUGUUUUACUUAAGAAAUGAAAAACUUGUUUGUUCAAGGAGAAUAAAGAAAAAUUUUCUAUGAUUUUUCUAUGGUUUGAACAAAGAAGGUUUUAACGAGUAUUAUAGACCUCGAUUGAAUGUUCGAAUGUAUAAUAAAAGAGAAACUGUCACAUAAAUGACAAAGAUACUUGAAAAAAAAAAAAAAGGGCAGCAAUAGAGAAUUAGAUCCGACUGUACAAAUAACUAGUUAAUUCAUCGAUACAUCAUUUUCUUGCUAGAAAAUGACAAUUAUGACAGCAAGCCACGAUAGUGUCAAUAUUGAAAUUGAUUUGCAAUUAUUCAGCCUAUGAGCCUUACACGUCAAGAUAAAAGUCAAGAAAAUGAAAGUUAAUAUCAAUUAAAACACUUCCAUUUCUAUGUGAAGUUAAAAAACAACGUUUCUUUUGUUUUGUGGGGGAUUCAACUGAGCACGCGCCACUAGCUAGCUGGCUUCUAGUUCUAGCAUAUGAAAACAGAAUUCUAAAGAUUUCACUUUCACCUUUUUUCUUUUUUUGGGGUUUUGAAUCAAAGUCAAGGUCGCACUGAAUAAUAUGUAAAAUUUGAAAAAGAAGAAUUAAUAGAGAACAAAGUUUUGUUUUAAAUUCACAUGGUGUGCAUACAAUUCAACAAACACUUCCUAUAAUAAAUCUGGAGUUGUAUCCCACGUUGAACAAUAAAGGAAAGUCACCUAAAUAUACAUGUAGGAUAAGUUACUUUAUUUAGUAAGUUUGUAUUUUCUUCUUUCUUCUAGUUUACAUAUAAAUUUGAUUAGAUAACUUAACACAUAUUUUAAUACUUGAUCAGAAGCCCGACGUACAGGUGGAUCUAGAAACUUGAUUUCUAAGAGUAAUACUAUAAUAAAAAAAUAAUGAUUCAUAGAACCAAUAUCAAAAUUUGUUUACAAGAUUGCCCCCACUCAAAGGUAAUUUUCAUAGAAAUUAAUAGGAAAUUUAAUUGUUAGUGGGGUCAAAUUGCCCCCACACUCUGAAUGUAGAUCCACGCCCGACCCUGAGUCAAGUAUAUUUUGCCACAUAUACUCUGAAUGUCGGCAGGAAAAAUCUUCCACUUUAGUUAAAAAUUUUCACUUAAAAAAUAUUUAUGUUAAUAAAGUUCGUAAAGGAAAUGAGUUUAAUUAAUGAAUAUUAUAGGAGAAAUUAAAGGAAAUGAGUUUAAUUAAAGAAUAUUAUAGGAGAAAUUCUAUUGUUCGGCUUUUAAUAAAUUAAUUAAUAGGUUUAAAAGAUUAAUAUACAUCAAAAUAUUAUUAGUUGGUGGGGGUUCCACAUCGGACUAAUACGUGUCACCUUACUUGUGAGAUUAAGACAAUCGACUUAGACUAUUUAAAUAUGUUUGAAGCUUAGAUGGCACCGCUUCAAUUUGCAUUACUGAAUGUCAUUCUUUAUCCUAAUUACUACCGUAAUUGAUAACAUGCAAUUGAAGUAACUAAUAUUAGCACUUGGCUAUAAAUGAACUAAAGGCCGUGCAAUUGAAUCUUUACUUGAUCACUUCACUCCUUUAUUUUGCUAACACAGAUUUUGAGAUAUUAAAACGAAAUAAUAAUUGAAUCUGGCUUUGUGGGUCGAUGAUGCUAGCAAAAACGAGACCACAAUUAUCACUUGUUUAUUUGCUGUAUUUGACGUUGUUUCAUAUUGGUAGUAAUAGGGUCAGUUUUUAAUCUUUUUAUAUUAAAGUUAAGUCAAUUUGUUAUCAAAAAAAAAAAUUGGUUGAGUUUAAUUAUAUUGCUAUGUACAUUAAAUAAUUAUAAUAUUCUUGAGGGAAAAAGACACCUAGAACCUCAAGGUUUGGGGAAAUGGUCACAAAGACUCCUAAGUUUUAAAAAAGGAACACUAAGAUCUUUUUUUACCCAUAAUACCCUUUGACUAGAGUAAUUAAAAAAUUGACUUUAAAGGUUUUUAAAUAAUUCUAAUUUAAUAUAAAUCAUAUAAUCUAUCUAGUAAACUAAUAAUAUUAAAUUAUUUUUUAUAUUUAAAAUAAUGUUAAAUUUUAAAUUAUUAUAUUUAUAAAAUUAUAAAGAUUUUAAAUAAAUAUUUGGAUUGAAUAUAUUUUACAAUUAAAAGUCUUCCUAUUAAUAAUAUUAAAAUUUAAUUUUACAAAAUAUAUAUUCAAAAUAUUUUUAAUUUUAAUUUAUUUAUUUUAAUAUUAUGUUUCUACCUAUUAUUAAAAAUUACUUUAAUAUAAUAAAAUAGGUCUAAUAGAUUGAAAAAUAUGAAAAUAUUUUUAAAAUUUUAAAUUAUUUUGAAAUGUAUAUAUUAUUACAUUUAUUUCAAUGUCAUAUUUUCAUUUAUUAUAAAAUUUUGGGGUUAUUUUUUUGGGAAUUUAUAGAGUCAAAGAGCAUUAUAAUUUAAUCCAUGCACAAUAUCUAUAAUUAUAUCGGUUGUCGGCUGAUUUCGUGGAGGGGGCGGCAGUUCAAAAUUUUUACGUGCAUGUUGGAUGGACGUCUCUAUUAAAGGAGAGCCACCACUUGCAUGGUAAUUUUUUUAAAUAAAUAUAUACAUUUCAAAACAUUAUUUUCUUGUUGUAUAGUUAACAUGUCACCUUAGAUGUAUUUUAGAGCUUCUCCUAUUAAAGAUAAUCUCAUGCAGUGUUACAGAGUAUGGUAAUAUGGUAUAGAUGAGAGCAUCUGAUUAAAUGAAGCAGCUGGUAAUGCUUACGUGUGUGAGUUAGUUAUCCAGCUCAGCAGCAAAGCAAACGAAAUGAAUUGCAUGCAUAUUAGAUCCAACAAACUGGUAAACUCUAGAUUCUUCUUUCAUUUAGUAUAAAUACCAAGUUGUUAUCAUUUGCUAAAUAUAUAAUAAGAUGAUCAUUUUCAGAUCUUUCCUUUAUAAUUUUCUAUAACUUUCUCGUUAGUUUCUCUUGAACCAAACACUUUGUACGAACUCUUUCGUGCAGUGAUACUUCUCGUGAUCUAAUCAUUAGUAGAAUCUAUAAUUUCGCUACUGUAAUAAAAUCUGUCACUACCCUAUAUGAAUGUAGAUAUUUGACGCGAUUUGUAAUUGCUUCCGACAGGAAAACAGCAAUAGUUUUAUUGAAAUUUGUGGUAUAGAUUCCACGAAUCUUAUGACAGAAUACUGACCACUCCAACCCUAUCCGCAUUUACACGAUUAAUACACAAGCUUAGAUGUGACAAUGCAUUUGUCACUCAUUCAAAUUCAUCCUGAAACACUAUACACUAAAUAAUCGAAUAUGGCUUCGUGGGUCGAUGAUGCUAGCAGCAACGAGACUGCAAUUAUCACUUGUUUUGUUGCUGUACUUGUCGUGGUCUAUUUCGCAUGGAAUGUAAACAAAUCAAGUAAAGCAAAUGCUAAAUUGCCACCAGGACCUCGGGGCUUGCCAGUAGUCCGAUACCUCCCAUUUCUUGGAACUACUGACUUACACAAGACAUUCACGGAGUUAUCUGGAGUUUAUGGUCCGAUCUUCAAGAUUUGGCUUGGGAAUAAAUUGUGUGUAGUGGUGACCUCGCCUACCCUAGUUAAACAAGUGGUCCGUGAUCAAGAUAUAACAUUCUCAAACCGCGACCCACCGAUCGCUGGAACUGUGACCACCUACGGUGGCAAUGAUAUUGCACUUUCCAAUUACGGUCCCGAAUGGAAAAAGUUGCGAAAAUUAUUUGUGAGCAAGAUGAUGAGUAAUGAGACCCUUGAUGCUUGUUAUGCUCUAAGAAAACAAGAGGUUAAAAAUACUAUCAGGGAUUUGUAUAACAACAAUAAGGAUAAUAUUGGCAAUGGCAAUGGCAAGCCCAUUGACGUUGGUGAAUUGUCGAUUUCAACUUUGGUACGUGUUAUGCAGAACAUGCUGUGGGGUCAAGCAUUGGAAACAAGAGAGAAAGAGAUUACUAAUCUCGGGGCUAAUCUUGCAGAACUCAUGGUGCUACUGGGAACACCAAAUAUUUCGGAUAUUUUUCCAGUGCUUUCAUGGCUUGACAUGCAAGGUAUAGAGAGAAGAGCUAAGAAGAUUUCUCUAUGGUUUGAAAAUAUUAUCAAUUCUGGUGUUGAACAGUAUAGAAACAAGUUCUCUGUUGUUAAAGGUGAAGAAGCUGCAGCACGAAAAAAUAUUGAACGAUCAAGAAAUAAGGACUUCUUGCAGUUGCUGUUGGAGCUUCAGGAAAAUGAAGAUAGUGCUUCAUCUAUUAGCAUGAACCAACUAAAGGCCGUGCUCGUGGUAUGUUAAGCAACUAGACACAAAAAGUUGUAAAAGCACAGCGAUAUAUUUGCGCGAGGCCCCGAGUGAUGUUUUGCCUCGAGAACUCUCAAUUUUAUCUUACGGUAAAAAAUGUUUUUCAACUUUUUUUUUUAAUUAGAAUUUUAUUGCAAUUUAUUUAACAGGACAUAAUUGUGGCCGGAACCGACACCACAACUACGAUGGUGGAAUGGACAAUGGCAGAGUUGAUGCAACAUCCACAAGUAAUGAAGAAAGUUCAAGAAGAAUUCGCUCAAGCUGUGGGCAUGGACAGUUGUGUUGAAGAAUAUCACUUGCCUAAAUUAAAGUAUUUAGAUGCUGUGGUGAAAGAAACAUUUCGUUUGCAUCCUGCGUUGCCCUUAUUGGUACCUCGCACGGCAAGCAAGAAUAGCAACAUUGGUGGCUAUACCAUUCCCAACGACACUAAUCUUAUGUUGAAUGUUUGGGCUAUCCACAGGGACCCUCAACUUUGGGAUAAUCCCUUAGAAUUUCGACCUGAGAGGUUCUUGAAUGAUGGUAUCAUAAGCAAUUUCAAUUACUCGGGUAACAAUUUUCAGUACUUGCCAUUUGGUUCUGGUAGAAGGAUGUGCGCUGGGAUUGCUCUAGCUGAGAGGAUGUUGAUGCUUGUUCUGGCUUCGUUGUUGCACUUGUUUGAGUGGAAAUUGCCCUCGGGCACAAAGCUAGACUUAUCUGAAAAGUAUGGGAUUGUCAUGCGGAAAAAAGAGCCUCUAAUUGCUAUUCCAACACCAAGGCUACCAAAUUCAGAUCUCUACCAGUAAGAUCAAAAUGGUUUUGAUAAUAUUAUUUCCCAUUGUAUUGGAUUUGAAGUUCAAUCAUAAUAAAAUAUUUUAAUAAAAUGUCCUCGGUUGCUAAUUUUUCAAUAGUAUAAUCUGCACCUGUCUUUUAUAGCAAUUUGGUCUAAUUUAUUUUUGAAUUAAAAUCCAUAAAUAUUUAUAUUUUUUUAAUUAUAUUAGGAAUUAUGUGGGGUGUAUGGUCUGAUCUUCGAGCUAUGCCUUGAAAACAAAUUAUGCAUAGUCGUGCACACGCUUUCCCUAAUUAAGUUUGUGGUUCGUGCUCAAGGCACAGCAUUCACCCCCCGCGACCCAACAAUCGCUACAUUGUUCCCCACCUAAAGUGCCAACAUAUUGCAUAAGUAACGCAAAAUAUGGUCCCCAAUGGAAAACGUUGCGCAAAUUAUUUCUGGGCAAGAUGAUAAGUAACGCAAGCCUUGAUGCUUGUUAUGGUCUAAGAAAACAAGAGGUUAAAAAUACUAUCAGAGACAUAUAUAAAACAACAACAGAAAAAAUUGGCAUUAUCAUCGAUAAUGGUGAGUUGUGGAUUUCAACUUUGGUAUGUUUAAUUCAGAACCCGCAGUGGGGUGGCGCUAGCACGCCUGCGUUAGGAGACGAGGGGACCAAUCUUGGGGCCGAGCUAAAAUAUAGGCUUGUAGAGCUC